UUUUUUUUAAUAUAUUUUUUAAAAUAAAAUUUUAAAAUUAUUAUUUGAUGUAGGUAUUGGGGUAGAAAAUGGAGUGUAGGAAUAACCUUACUCUUAUCAAUAUCUCUCGUAUAGAGGAGGAAACAUAUAAGCUUAUUGAAACACUACUUUUAUUUUCUAUAUACUAUAUGAUUACACGUACGUACACACACAAAAUCAUAGUCAUCAUCAUGUACAUACACGAGUGACCAAUAGAAGUAACGGCAACAAAGGUAUUUGUGAUAGAGAAUGCAGCUGAGGGUGCCUCAGCUUCUCCUGCUGGGCCAUUUGUUCCUGGUGCUGGUGGAGAAGAAGUGUUUGGGGUUGGUGAUGAAGGAGAAGAAGUGGUUGAAGGAGAGGGUGCUGGAGAAGAAGUUGUUGCAGGAGAAGGUGUUGGUGAUGUGUUUGUGGAGGGUGAUGGAGCAGGUGCUGAAUUGGGUGAUAAUGAUUGUGUGGGUGCGGGUGCAGGAGCCUGUUGUGCUAUGCAUGAGGUAGCCAAAAGCCCCAAUAUCAAAAACACUUUGACUGCAAGAGAACCCAUGUUUUAUUUAUAUAUAUGUUUUUGUGAUAGAGAAGAAUGUUGAGUGAAAUAUGAUUCCUCCAAAUAAAUAGUUUGUAAGAUAAUUGAUUUGUGUAAAGUUCAAGUCCAUAAUUGGGGGUAUAUAUAGUGUGCAAAUAUGCUUGUGUGUUUUCUUAGCGAAUCGGUGUCUGAUUAAUAAUUAGUCAAAUAAAAUAAAACACUACAUUUCCUUUUGUUUUGCAUGCAAUUUUCAUUUUCCAAUUGAUAUUUUUUAAUGAUAUUUUUGUCUUUUUUUAGCGAGGGCGGUUGUGACUUUAGAUGAGUAAUAGGUCAAAUAAAAUAAAAGACUACUUUUCCUUAUUUUUUAAAAGAUAUUAUUUCUUUAAUGCAAAUUUCUUUUUACAAUAAACAUUUACUUUGUGUUUGCAAGUGCAAGUUAAGUAAUACGACACUGGUUGUGUGCAGGCGAAGUUUCGACGUACGGUAUAACCGCGUUUAACCAUUCUCAAUUUGAUUUUUUCUCUGUUUCUAGGUUACCCAGUCAAAGAUUGAUUUGUUCACGUGACAGUGAAGGAUAAGGAAAGCGCUAUCUUUUAUAAUUAUUCGAUUAAAAGAAAAAGAAGCAAAGUUACAAAAUUAAAAGAUAAGAUAAAAUUUUAAAAUAAAUAGUAUUUUUUUUGGUUUAAAGUAAAUAGUUAAAGGUGUGAAAAACAGUUUUCUCAUUAAAAAGUUUAUAAAAAAAUUUAAUAGAAUUUAAUUUUAGUUAAAGAAAGAGUGCAAAGUAAAAGAAAAUUUAAAUCAUUAUUCUUCUGAUUCUAUUUAUAAGAGAAAAUUAAUUUGUUAAGUUUAUUAAAUAAUUAAUGUAUUUGAUUUAAUAUAUCGUCUAAAUAUAUUGAUUAUUCCAUGAAUAUAAAGUAUAAAUUUUCUCCCUAAAUAUAACCGGAGAUAGUAAUCAGCAAAUCCUAAAAAUUAUUAAGGUAUCUUUAUCUUUAAAAUACUGCAUGGUGCGACAAGUUCAAGGAAAUAUUCAAUUUAGCAAUUUGUUACAAAAAUGUUUGACAAAUGAAAUGUACUGGCGUCUGGCAAAAGUCCGGAAUCAGGGCCAAUUUGUUUUAGCUUAUAAAAAAUAGAUUUUUUAUUUUUAUUUUUGAAAAUGAAUUUUACAAAAAUAUUUUUUAAAAUAUUAAGAGUUUUUCUACAUUUGUUUUUUUAUAGAUUGAAUUGUUCAUUGUAUAACAUAAAUAUAGAUUAUUGGAGAUUAAAACAUACUCAAAAUCACAAUUUUUUCAAAAAGUUGUAUCUUAAAAAUGAUUUUUAUGAAAAACUAUUUGAAAUAGCUUCAAAAUUAAGUGAUUUUUUAAAAUUUUGAUAUCCAAAAAAAGUUUCGAUAAAAUGAUGAAAUACCUAAAAUAACAUUUUAAGAAUAACUAUUCAAACCAAAUUUUCAUUUGAAGCUUUUAUGAAAAGUUUCUUUGUAAAUAUCCAAAAAAAGUUUCGAUAAAAUGAUGAAAUACCUAAAAUAACAUUUUAAGAAUAACUAUUCAAACCAAAUUUUCAUUUGAAGCUUUUAUGAAAAGUUUCUUUGUAAAUUUUUUUUACACUAAAUUAUAUAACACUAUAAAAAUCAUUUUUAAAAAAGCCAAAACAAACGGGCCCUAGAUUGAUUCAAUAUGACAUUUUACAAAGUAAUUUGGGAUAUUAUUAAAUUUGAUUAAUUUGACAGUGUUAAUGAAUUAUUCUCUACGGAUCAUCUUCCAAAAGCUAUCAAUGCUUCUUUUUCUCGCUUUAACUCUGUUUGUCGAUGUUACUGUCAUCCUUGGAGACUAAUAAAAUAUUUGGGGUGAAGAGGGUCCCGAUAAUCAUGUGACUAAUGAUGUUGAAGAAAAAGAUAAGGAAGAAAAGGAUGUUGCUGCUGGUGAUAAUUAUGAAAAUGACACAAAUGCCUCUGUUGGCAUCUGAGUUGCUUGUUCUUAUUUUGUUUGAUUUUGUGGGCUUUGCCUUGGAUUUUUUUUAGCACCCUUGUGUGCUUUCGUAUGUACCCCUAACUCAUUUUCUGGUUGUUGAUUCUGGUUUCGAUAAAUGUCUGUUUGGUUUGUCAAUAUUCUAGCUAAAAGGGGGGAGUAGUGUGUGUAUAAUGUAUGUAUUUGUGUGUUGUUUGCCUUGGGUGUGAAGUGUUCCGGUUGUUUCAUUGAGGGGGAGUAUGGGCUCCGUGUGGCAGGGGGACUAAUACCUUGAUAGUUGAUCAUGCCAUUCAGGGGGAGUAUGGUGUUUGUGUGCUUAGGCUCUAUGGGUGCUUGCUGUAUAGUUGUGAUGUCAGACAUAAUGUCUUGGCAUUUUAUGUCAGAGAAUCUUUUCUCUAUGUGAUUUUUUUUUCUUUGAGGCUGGGUUUCUUCUCUAUAUUUCUGUUGCACGUGCCUCUGUUUUAUCUUGGUGGUAUACCAAGUUUAUGUGUGUUCUUUUUGUGAUUAUGAUUGCUGAUGUUGUGUGACUCUUUCUCCAUUUAUAUUAUGCAAAGGUUAUUUUAGCCAAAAUUUGCCAAAGGGGGAGAUUGUUAGGUAUGUGAUUUUAUGAUUGACAAUAAUUUUGUUAAAAUAUGUAUCACAACAAGAUGUUGAGCGAGAUGUCUUGACAUGUUGAUCAAACAUCUUUGCAGGAUCUGUUUUGCUUUUUGGAAGAUUUAUUUUAUUAUGAGAUCUCUGAAGAUUCUCUGAAUAUUCAACUAUCUUAUCUAACUAUCUGAGAAGGUUUAUUUUAUGAACACAUGGUUCUGUCCCAGCUGUGCGCUUGUUUCUUAAAAAGGAAUGUUGUGAAAUUUUACGAAACAUAUGAUCUUGUACCUGAUUUUAUGCAGAAGAUUCUACAGGAUUAGUGCAGCUGUCCAAAUUAGAUCUAUUGCGGUUUUUAAGCCUAAGCACAUGCUUACCAAAGGCUAUUUAAAGAGGACGUUACUAAACCUAAUUAACAGAAGUGAGAUCUACGCUUGAUAUUAUUGGAAUUAGGGUUUUAGUUGUUCUUUGUUAUUUCUUAUGAGCCACAAUUAUAUCACUUUGAUAUUAGAGUUGGUAUGUGUUUGAUUUGUAAUUGGUAAAUCACUCAUAAGCUUUUAAGCAGAGUGGGUUAUAUGUUUUAGAAGUGUGUUUUCCAUUAUUUGAUUAAAGUCAUUAUCAAUGUGUGUGAUUGAAGGGAAGUGAAAGGGGUCUCAUAUCUAGGAGAGUCUUAGAUAGAAAUAACAAGGGUAGUGAUUAGGUGCGAAGAUUGUAAACAGGAGGUUUUUUACUGAGGUCUUCAAACUAAUACUAUUAUAGUGGAUUUCCUUCCUUGCUUUGAUGCACCUAGUUGCACCGAACUGGGUUAACAAUCAUCUAUAAAAAAGUGCGCACAUAAAACAGAGUCGCCACAGAUGAUAUUUAUCCCAAGAUGGGGAAAGGAAUCACUGAGUAAACCUACAAAAAGGAUGAAUCUAAUGGUCUCGCAACCAAGAGAUGGGUAAGGGAGUCGAUCACGCAAGGGAAAAUUAUUAGCACCCCUCACGUCUAUAGUACUCUACAGGAUCCACUCUUGUUGUUCUGAUCGAAAAGGUGUGUUUAUUCUAAAACUUGUAAGAACAAAAAUUGUUCUACAACAGAUUCCUUGAUUUUGAUGAUAACAAAGGAUGAAACCAAAAAUGGCACCCUAACGAAAAGUUUCUAAGUGUGCAGGGUUCUAAAGAAAGAAGUAAUAAAUCUGAUGAUGUCAUCAGAUGCACAACAAGAUCAGAUACAAAUUCUCAAGUAUCAGAAGCAUCUGAAGUGGAAUCUCGUUCAAGAAAGUCUGACUCUGGACAAAACUGCAAAGUAUCAGAAGCAUCUGAACAUGAAGUAAAGUCUAGAAGCUCUGACUCUGAACAAAUGCCUUCUGUAAAUUCUGAAGUUAUCAGCGCCAUCUGAACUUUCAAGAGAUAACAUCAGAAGCCAGUUUCUCCAGAUACACGAAGACUCUAAUCAGAAUUGUUAAUCAUGAUGAAGUAACGUUUAAGCCAAGUUAAAGUUCUGCAAAUGGAUUUCCUCAAUUAGAAAGAGACGUUAAUCUCCACUUCCAAGAGAGAAGAUACUAAUUGUGGUAAGUAGUCACUUCUAAGAGAAAAAGUCUACUGCAGAAGCUAUUAAUGGAAUGGCGUAACUACAUCUCAAUAUCCAACAGAUUCAACGCUACUUCAACUCUACUUCAACUCCUAUAAAUAGAGAAGAAAUCUCAUUCAGUAAACACGAAGAAAUCACUAGCCAAAACUAUACUGAAAUUAUAUCACGCUCAAGAAAAACAUCUUUGUUCUUCAAAGAUUUUCACUAAGCUUUUGCUUAUCAAGUGAAAAAUUUGUUCUUAAGUUUGUAAUAUUUGCUUUCUUAGAAGCACUCUAGAUUACACAUCUUGUAUCUAAUUUUUAUUUGAUUUCCUCAAGUGACUCUUUGUAGUCUGUAGACUUGAGAGGACUAAGAGAUUUUCUUCUCUCUUAGGGGUUGUUUGUAAUCUUUCAAGAUUAGUGGAUUAAGUCCUUGUUGAAGGCGAAAUCACCUUGGCCGGGUGGACUGGAGUAGCUUUGUGUUAUAAGCGAACCAGUAUAAAAUCCUUGUGUGAUUUUCAUUUUGAAAAGCGCUUAUUUUUCCAAACAAUUCAAACCCCCCCUUUCUUGUUUUUCUCACCUUCAAUUGGUAUCAGAGCUCCGGCUCUGUUAUUGAUUUUCAAAUCAAACACUUAACCGUGUAGAGAGAUCCAGUGCGAGAAAAACAAAUGGCCCACUCAAAUGAGAAAGAUUCUUACAAUGCCAAGCCUCCUGUUUUUGAUGGAGAAAAGUUUGAUUACUGGAAAGAUAGAAUCGAAAGUUUCUUUCUGGGUUAUGAUGCUGACCUCUGGGACAUUGUCACAGAUGGAUACACACCUCCAGUCUUAAAUGGAGCUGAAGUUCCCAGAAGUAAGAUGUCAGAAGAUCAGAAACGUGUCUUCAAAAAUCACCACAAGGCCAGAACAAUACUUCUAAAUGCUAUAUCAUACAACGAAUAUGAAAAGAUCACCAACAGAGAGACAGCCAAAGAUAUACUUGACUCUCUGAAGAUGACCCAUGAAGGAAACUCCCAAGUCAAGGAGACGAAGGCUCUGGCGCUUAUCCAGAAAUAUGAAGCCUUCAAAAUGGAAGAUGACGAAGCUAUAGAGGCUAUGUUUUCCAGAUUUCAAACUCUUAUUGCAGGUCUUAAAGUGCUAGACAAAGGAUACACAACUGCAGAUCAUGUUAAGAAGAUAGUCAGAAGUCUGCCAAAGAAAUGGAGACCUAUGGUUACUGCUCUGAAGCUGUCAAAGGAUCUGAACAAUAUCAGCCUUGAAGAACUUGUUAGUUCUCUCAGAAGCCAUGAGAUAGAACUAGAGGAGGAUGAGCCUCAGAAAAGGAACAAGUCCGUAGCGCUAAAGUCCAGAUCUGAAAGACGGAAACCUGACAGAACCAAAGCUCUCCAGGCAGAAACUGAAGAUACUGACGACUCUGAACCAGAAGACUCUGAUGAUGAAGAAGAGUUGUCCCUACUAACCAGAAGAGUUAAGCAACUCUGGAAAAAGAGGAACAACAACUUCAGAAGACCAAGACCCAGAGGGGAUCGAUCAGAGUCAACUUCAAAAGGUAAAGCUAACAAAGAUAUUACCUGUUAUGAAUGUAAAGAAACAGGUCAUUACAGAAAUGAAUGCCCCAAGCUGAAGAAAGACAACCCUAGAAAAGAAAGCUUCAAGAAAAACACCUUCAGAACAAAGAAAGGACUGAUGGCUACCUGGGAUGAUAGUGAAUCUGGAUCAUCAGAAUCUGACUCUGAUGAACAGGCCAACGUAGCACUUAUGGCUACCACAUCCAGCAGCUCAGACGAAGAAUCUGAAGAGGUAUUUUCUGAACUUUCUCGAUCUGACUUAGAAUCAUGUUUGUCAGAAACUCUUACCUCUUAUCAGAAAUUAAAACAAAAGUUUAAAAACAUUAAAGGCUGUCUUAAAACAAAAUUUGAAGAAUGUAAUGAACUUGAGAUAACAAUUCUAGCACAUGAAGAUACAAUCAGAUCUUUAACGUUAGAAAGAGAUGGAGCAAAAACAAAAAGCUCAGAAUUAGAAGAAGCGUUGUCUCAAGCACCACAAACUUCAAAUAAAAUUAUUUAUAAAUAUGAAGAAGCCUUUCAAGAAUUUCUGAAGAAUGGGAUAGAUAGGAGUAUUAUGGCAUCCAUGAUUUAUGGAGUAAGUCAGAACAAUAAAAGGGGAAUUGGGUAUGAUCCUAAGGAAGAUAAAACUUCUACAAGUGAUCAAAUUAAAUCUCCUUUUUCAUAUCACUACACACACACACAAGAACACAAAUUUAAAAAUGCUAGAAGACCCAAAGUUAUAAGAAACUCUGGGAAAACUAAUCUAAAAGGACCCAAGAGAUUCUGGGUACCGAAAGAUAAGAUUAUCUAUGUUGCAGAUAUCCUAUGCAGCAAAGUUCAGACACCAGUCAUGGUACCUGGACUCUGGAUGCUCGCGACACAUGACGGGAAGAAAGUCUAUGUUCCAAAGUCUGGAACUUAAAGACGCUGGAUUUGUAGGCUUCGGAGGAGAUCAGAAAGGAAGGAUCAGAGGCUCCGGAACUAUUGGUAAUGGUACUCUUCCCUCUAUAUCUGAUGUUCUUUAUGUAGAAGGAUUAAUGCAUAACUUGUUAUCCAUAAGUCAAUUAAGUGAUAACGGUUAUGAUGUAAUCUUCAAUCAAAAAACAUGUAAAGCCAUUAAUCAGAACGAUGGCUCUGUCCUUUUCACAGGCAAGAGGAAAAACAACAUUUACAAAAUAAAUCUUUCUGAUUUAAAAGAUCAAAAUGUUAAAUGUCUAAUGUCAGUUCACGAAGAGCAAUGGGUAUGGCAUAGACGCUUGGGCCACAUUAGCAUGAGGAAACUUUCUCAGCUAACUAAACUCGAGUUAGUCAGAGGCCUACCUAAACUGAAGUUUUCUUCAGAUGCUCUGUGUGAAGCUUGUCAGAAAGGAAAAUUUUCAAAAACAUCUUUUAAAAAGAAAAAUGUUGUUUCUACCUCUAAGCCUCUGGAACUUCUUCACAUUGACUUAUUUGGUCCUGUGAAAACAGCAUCAGUUAAUGGAAAGAAGUAUGGACUAGUCAUUGUUGAUGAUUACAGUCGCUGGACAUGGGUAAAAUUCCUAAAGCACAAGAGUGAGUCUCACUCUGUAUUCACCAGUUUCUGUUCCAAAGUGCAAAAAGAAUUUGACUCUAAAAUUAUUAGAGUCAGAAGUGAUCAUGGUGGAGAAUUUGAAAACAAAGAUUUUGAAGAAUUAUUUGAUUCUAAUGGAAUAUCCCAUGAUUUCUCCUGCCCUAGAACUCCACAACAAAAUGGAGUUGUAGAGAGGAAGAAUAGGACACUCCAAGAGAUGGCCAGAACCAUGAUCAAUGAAACUAAUGUAGCAAAGCACUUUUGGGCAGAAGCUGUAAAUACAGCGUGUUACAUUCAGAAUAGAAUCUCUAUAAGACCUAUUCUGGAAAAGACUCCCUAUGAACUGUGUAAAGGAAGAAAACCAAACAUUUCAUAUUUUCAUCCUUUUGGAUGUUCUUGCUUUAUAUUAAAUACUAAAGAACAUCUGAACAAGUUUGAUUCCAAAGCACAGAAAGGUAUUAUGUUAGGAUACUCAGAACGCUCUAAAGGCUACAGAGUAUACAACACAGAAACCAAAAUUGUGGAAGAAUCAAUUCAUGUCAGAUUUGAUGAUAAGCUUGACCCUGAAAAGUCAAAGCUAGUUGAAAAGUUUGCAGAUUUGGAAAUCACUCUUGUAGAAUCUGAUAAAACUCCAGAAGCAACUGUCACUCAGAACUCUGAAGAAAUUAAAUCUCCAGAAAUCCCAAAGAAAGUCAAAAGUCGUAUCAAUGUAUCUGAAGAUUUGAUUCUGGGAAACAAGGACGAACCUGUCAGAACCAGAUCUACCUUCAGAACUUCUGAAGAUAUUCCUCUGGGACUAGUGUCUCUGAUUGAGCCUACGUCUUGUGAUGAAGCACUUCAGGAUAACGACUGGGUGGCAGCUAUGCAAGAAGAAUUGGAUCAAUUCUCAAAGAAUGAUGUCUGGGAUCUCGUUCCUAAACCCAGAGGCACUCACGUCAUUGGAACCAGAUGGGUUUUCAGAAACAAGCUGAACGAGAAAGGAGAAGUUGUCAGAAACAAAGCUCGACUGGUAGCUCAAGGUUACAGUCAACAAGAAGGUAUUGACUAUAAUGAAACCUUUGCUCCAGUCGCGAGGUUAGAAUCUAUUCGUCUUCUUGUAUCUUUUGCUAUUAAUCAUUCUAUUAAAUUAUAUCAAAUGGAUGUCAAGAGUGCAUUCCUUAAUGGUUAUAUAUCAGAAGAAGUGUAUGUCAACCAACCUCCAGGUUUUGAAAAUUCAAAUUUUCCAGAACAUGUUUUUAAACUUAAGAAAUCCUUAUAUGGACUUAAACAAGCUCCCAGAGCUUGGUAUGAACGAUUAAGCAAUUUUCUUCUGGAACAAAAUUUUAUCAGAGGGAAAGUUGAUUCUACACUCUUCUGUAAAAACCUUAAUAAUGAUCUCAUGAUAUGCCAGAUUUAUGUUGAUGAUAUUAUUUUUGGUUCUGCUAAUAUCUCUGUUUGCCAAGAAUUUUCUAAGUUAAUGCAGGCAGAAUUUGAAAUGAGUUUAAUGCAAGAACUAAAGUUCUUUCUGGGAAUUCAAAUUAAUCAAACUCCAGAAGUCACGUACGUCCAUCAAAGUAAAUACAUUAAAGACGUUCUGAAGAAGUUUGACAUGACUGAAUGCAACUCUGCAAAAACUCCCAUGCACCCAACUUGCAUUCUGGAAAAGGAAGAGGUAAGCAACAAGGUUUGUCAGAAGCUCUAUCGAGGUAUGAUAGGCUCUCUUCUCUAUCUGACUGCUACUCGUCCUGAUAUUCUCUUUAGUGUCUGUCUUUGUGCCAGAUUCCAAUCAGAUCCUAGAGAAUCUCAUUUAACAGCAGUUAAGAGAAUUCUUAAGUAUCUGAAAGGAACUCCUAACCUGGGCCUGAUGUAUGAGAAAACAUCAGAGUAUAGACUUUCUGGUUAUUGUGAUGCAGAUUAUGCAGGAGAUAGAAUAGAACGAAAAAGCACAUCUGGAAAUUGCCAGCUUCUGGGAAACAAUCUAAUCUCCUGGGCUAGCAAAAGACAGUCAACUAUUGCUCUAUCAACUGCAGAAGCAGAAUACAUCUCAGCAUCACUGUGCACAACUCAGAUGCUCUGGAUGAAGCAUCAGCUAGAAGAUCUACAAAUCUUUGAGAGUAACAUUCCUAUCUUUUGUGAUAAUACUGCUGCUAUUUGUUUAAGUAAGAAUCCCAUUCUACAUUCCAGAGCCAAACACAUUGAAAUAAAACAUCAUUUUAUCAGAGACUAUGUUCAGAAAGGGAUAGUAACAUUGAAGUUCAUUGAUACAGAACAUCAAUGGGCAGAUAUCUUUACUAAGCCUCUAGCUGAAGAUAGAUUUCUUUUUAUCUUAGAACAUCUGAACAUUAAAAAUUGUCCUGAAUGAAGUAUGGCUCUGAAAAUGUAAAAUGUGACUCUGAUGUAAACAAAUGUACUUCUGCCUCUGACUCUGAUACUUCUACCAAGUUAAGAAGAUAUCUGAGUUAGAAAUCUCCAGGAACCAAUCCUUUGGUAUUCCUGAAGAUCAGAUACAUCAACACGUGGAGCACUUAGCGUCCAACCCUAGAACUUCUAGACAGCUGUCCAGAAGAAAAUCAAAGGGAAACGUUUGAGAUCUCCUCGAGCAGUGUGCAUACUGUUGGGAUUAGACAUUCAUUAAUUAGCCUUAAUCAUUUCUCCCCCAAGCGUGCUUACUUGAGCUUUGUGCUAACGCAAUAUUGUGUGUCGUUUUGCAUGUGUUUUAACUUAGGGUAUUUAAACACUUUUCUCACUUUUCACACACUUUUCACUCUCACUCACUCUCAAACCCUCUCUAAAACCCUAAACCUCUCUGAAGCAUUCUCUGCAAACUCUCAAUCUUCAUCUUCUUCUUCACCAUGGACGCUCAACAACAAGAAGUGUUUAACUUUUCUCAACAAAUGGAAUCAAGCUCAACUGCUCAAACCUCAAGCAUUCCAACUCCAACGGUUACAGGCGUCACCAUCACCCCUGUUUACAAAGAACCUCACGUUCUUGACCGUGAACGCCAUAUCAACCUUUCAACCCCUUUUGAAGGUUUGGACGUGUUGUGUGAAUCGCUAGUUGAUUUCGACAACCUAAGAAGAAAUGGCGUUGAUCUAACUGGAGAACUUCGUCAACAAGGGUGGGAAAACUAUUUCCAAAGACUUUAUGGUCCCAUUUACCCACUUCUCGUCAAGGAGUUCUGGAGACAUGCAGAUGCAGAUGACAACUUCAUCGUCUCAUAUGUUCUGGGGGUGAAGAUUGUUAUUACUGAAGGGUCUAUUGCCUCCUUGUUGAACAUGGAGCGAAGUGGAGGAAAAAGGAUUUACAACAUUCCUCCUAGGUCAAAGCGCAUUACAGAUGUUAUCAACCCAACAAUCUUCAAACCCAACGUUGAAGGAAACCCUUCUAAAAACAAAGAGCUACACCAGAACCUCAGAGUGUGGCUGAAGAUUAUUCUGGGAACCAUUCACCACCGUCCAGCCUCUAACUCUUCUGACUACAUCAAUGCAGACCAGAAAUGCAUUCUGUACUGCAUUCAGAAGGGUGUGAAGAUCUCCCUCCCUGCUCUCCUUUUCAGAUAUCUGAGAGAUUCGGUCAGAGAAACCAGAAACAACAUGAAGCCCAGAUCCUACAUUCCUCUGGGAAGAUUGCUAUCUGAUGUCUUCAUUGAGCAUGGACUGGUAGACCAUCUGGAAAAGACAAAACUGAUGGAUGAUCUGGCAAUAGAUGUGGGGAAGCCUCUGAAUGCCAGAAACCUCAAGAGUAUGGGGAUAAUCAAGAAAAUUCAAGUCAGGCCAACUCUGGAUACAUCCUGGGAUAGUUUGAAAGAUCAGAGGAAGAUGCCUCAUGGCCUUGCCAGAUUCUUCAAGAAUGAACCCAGAGACGCUGUUGCUAUCUAUCUUCAUCGUCUGCUGGAAGAAGGUGUUGACGUCUCUGAUUUCAGCCUCGACGACUGUCUGGACUCUGAAGAAGACUUCGUCAGAUACAAGAGAGGUCUUUCUGAAAAGAAGGUAGCAUCUCAGGCAAAGAAGGCCAGACUCGGAGAAACUUCUGGAAGCAAAUCUUCAGCUCCUCUGAAUAUCUCUACUGGUAAGUCUGUUCCUCCUGUUACCUCUAAUCCUCUGAUGGCUUCUUCUAACCCUCUCUCUUCACAACCUAUUUAUACCACCUCUGAUAUUUCACCCUCAAUCACCAGAACCUCCCAACCUACACCAGUUCUAAAUAUAGCCCGUACAUUCAUACCUCCCUCUGAACCUAAACAAACCCACCAAAGCACUUCAUCUUCAUCAUCCUCAGCACCAGAAUCACCCCCAUAUGUUUCCCUCUCAUCUGACCCAGAAUUUUCUGACCCUGAUUCCCCAACCAUAGCCACAAUUUAUGCUCAUAGACUUGCUUCACAACAAACACAAACACAAUCUGAAGCAACUUCACCUCCACCACAACAAACAACCACCAUACCUUCUGAAGACCAACCCUCUGACCAUCCCACUUCUGAUAUCAACCCACCAAACACCUCUGCUGCACCUGAAUCUGAAACUGAAACUGAACCUUUAGAUUUAAAUCCUCUUUACGCUUCACCCCAAACAUCUGAACCUCAACCUGAAUCAGAAACUGAACCAGAACCUCUAACUCUAAAUCUCAGCCCUCCAACAUCUCCACCUCAUACCUCUGAACCUGACCUUUCUGUACCUACCCUUGAGGAAGCCAUCAUGCUGGUCGCAGGGGCUUCAGUACAAAAGGUCAAGUCUCUGACCACUAACUCUGAAGUCAGUGAUGAUCCUGACUCUGUAAGGACACACUGGAACAGAGUCAUUGGCUGGAUGACCUCUGAGUCUUUUAGGCUGAAGAGUAUCUCUGAACAAGUCAGAAAUGGCUACAUCAGAGAUGCUGAGGCAAGACUCCAAGAGAGAUUAGCCAGAGAAGCUGAAGCUAGAAGGCUAGAGGAAGAGAGAUUGGCAAAGGAAGCUGAAGAAGAAGCAAGAAGACUGGAAGAAGAAGAAAAAGCUCGUCAAGCUGAAAUCCUAAGGGAAAAGGAAGCUGAAGCUAAGGCUCUGGCGGAUGCAGAAGCCCAAGCUGCUGCUGAAGCUGAAGCUCAGCAGGCUCUGACUCUGGGGGAGUCCUCUUCUGUGAUCCCUAUGGUUCUUCAGACUCUGAAAGAACUUAAGCAAGAUCAGAAUGAACUCCGGGCCAGAAUGGACAAGCAAGAUACUGUCAACGACAACAUCCAGAACAUGCUUGCUAUGCUGCUUCAGAGAAUGCCUCCGCCUCCGAACCCUUAGGCACUUAGGAUUUAUUUUGCUUGCCUGUUGUUUUAUUUUCUCUGAAUCUGAUGUUUUCUAGUUCUUGUUGCCUUUGUGCUUUUAUCUGAAUACAAGUUUUUCUCUUAAUUUUUUUUUUUUUUGCUAUGUCUUUUUGAUUCUGACAAAAAGGGGGAGAAGUCAUUAAUAGCUCUGAUGAAAAUAUUGUCUAAAUACCUUAAGCAUUCUGCAACAUAUUUUUCUUAAAAAUAAAUUUAUCUAACCUGGACUUAAGAAAUUGCAGAAGGUAUCAAGAAACCUCUUUACUUAGAAGCUCUGGUAAGAACUUCUGAACUCCCUAGCACUAUCUCAGGGGGAGCUUCUGUCUAUCUGAUCUGAUAUUAUUCAUGUUUCAUCUGCUAAUUAAGGUUGUUUUGUCAUCAUCAAAAAGGGGGAGUUUGUAAGAACAAAAAUUGUUCUACAACAGAUUCCUUGAUUUUGAUGAUAACAAAGGAUGAAACCAAAAAUGGCACCCUAACGAAAAGUUUCUAAGUGUGCAGGAUUCUAAAGAAAGAAGGAAGAAAUCUGAUGAUGUCAUCAGAUACAAAACAAGAUCAGAUACAAAAUAUCAAAUGAUCAGAAGCAUCUGAAGUGGAAACACGUUCAAGAAAGUCUAACUCUGAGCAAAACAGCAAAGUAUCAGAAGCAUCUGAACAAGAAGUAAGCUCUAGAAGUUCUGACUCUGAACAACGCUAUCUCUAAGCUCCAGAAGUUAUCAGCGCUAUCUGAAGAAACUAUCUGAACUCAAGAGAUUAACAUCAGAAGCAAGAUUCCAAGAUUCUCCAGAAACACAAAUACUCUGAGCAUGGAAUUGCUAAUCAUGAAAGAGUAACGUUUAAGUCAAGAAAAGAUUUGCAAAUGGAUUUCCUAAUUGAGAAAGAGACGUUAAUCUCCAAUCUCAAUAAAGAAAAUACUACUUGUGGUAAGUAGUCAUUUCAAGAAGAAAAAGUCAUCCUGCAGAAGCUAUUUAUGUGAUGGCGUAACUUCAUCUCAAUAUCCACCAGUUUCAACUACUACCUCACUGAUCUAUAUAAAGGAUUGAGAAUCAACUUUCAAAAAAAUAUACUAGCUAACAAGUCAGUAAGCCAACAAGCCAAAAUUAUACUGAAACACCAAGUCAAGAAAAACAUUCUUUCUCUCUAAGAUAUUCACGAAGCUUUUGCUUAUAACGUGAAAAACUCUUGUUCUUAACACUGUAAUAUUUGCUUUCUUAGAAGCACUCUAGAUUACAUAAAUCUUUCAUUUAUUGUUUGUUGAUUUCCUCAAGUGACUCUGUGUAGUCUGUAUACUUGAGAGGGCUAAGAGAUUUUUAUCUUAGACGUUGUUUGUAAUCUUUCAAGAUUAGUGGAUUAAGUCCUUGUUGAAGGCGAAAUCACCUUGGCCGGGGGGACUGGAGUAGCUUUGUGUUAUAAGCGAACCAGUAUAAAAUCCUUGUGUGAUUUUCUUUUUGAAAAGCGCUUAUUUUUCCAAACAAUUCAAACCCCCCCUUUCUUGUUUUUCUCACCUUCAAAACUUACCAACUAAAAGGGAAUGCAUGCAGAAAGAUUGAAUUAUUUACAAAAUAAAAAGAUUUUUUUUUAUUAUUGCGCUCGCUUAGGUUUUGCAACCCAAUGCCUAUGCAUCAAUAAAGAAUCAUACCACCGUAGUUCUUCUCAAAAAAUUUGGUUUGUUGGUGCUUUUUAUGGGUAACCACCCUUAUUGAAAAUUUUCAUAAGAAAAGCCAAGCGGCAAAAUAAGUUUAAUUAGUUGAGUAUUUUAUUGAGAGAAUACAUCAAAUGAUCCACCCAAGGCAAAGAGAUCCUAUGGGGAACAUGUUAUCCACAAAUGGAAAAGAGAUAUAAGAAGAUGACAAUCCAUAUCAAGUCAUGGAACAAACAAACAAAAAAACACAAUACCAUAUCAAAUCAUGGAAGAACAGAUAAACAAUACCAUAUCAAGUCAUGAAGAAAAAUAAAAGACAAACAAUUCCAUAUCAAGUCAAGGAAUAGACAAAGUAAUAACAAUCCGUAUCCAUUCAUGGAGAAAAUAAAUAGCACAAAAACAGAUAAACAAUCCAUAUCAAGUCAUGGAAGAAAGAUUGAGAGAAAUCAUAUUAAGUCAUGGAAGAGAAAGUAAAAUAGUGGCAAUCCAUAUCAAGUCAUGGAGAAAAAUAAAAGACAAUAACAGAUAAAUAAUCCAUAUCAAGUCAUGGAAGAAAGAAACAUAGAAAUGUUAUUCAAUUAACAAAAGUCUCAAUAUCAAGAAUGAGUUCACAUUGGUAUUGAAUCCAUGGUAUAAGCACCCAAGUACACAAACAUCAUGCAAAGUUGUAAAGUGAAGUUAACACAAGUAUGUGAACAAUUAGAAAUGGAAAAAUACAUAGUAUGUGAAUGAUAUCAAAAGAAAAUAAAUAGGGUCAAUUCAUAUAAGAAAAACUCAAGACAUCUCAGAGGCACACUCAAAGAUUGAGGCGACUAAAUGAUCAAAAUCAAACCCUAGUCAUGCUCUUAAUGGCUAACGAAUUUCAAGCAAGUAUAUAUGAAGUAAUAUUAUGAGAAAAUGGUACCAAACCACACAAUUCAGAAGUAUAGGAUAUUCAAACUUCACAUAAAAAUCACUCAAACAUUAAGAAUGAACCAAACAAACUAUGCUCCAAGAUAGGUAAACAAUCACACAAGCUCAAAAAGCUCAGACAAGAAGUAAACAAACUAUGAAGCAAACACAUGACAUCAAGAGAUGUAUGACUUGUGCAAUAAGUUAACUCAAGAUGAGGUUCAGGAAUAACAAGGGAAGUCAUUCAAACUUCACACACAUAUUAAAGUCAAGUAACUUGGAAAAUAAUAAAGAUAUCAUCCUAGAAAAAGAAAUCAUUUAUCAAAAUGAAAUAGGAUAAGUAAGGGUAAAGAGAGGGAUGCUUAGGUGAUGGGACAUUAAAAAAGAUCUUCAAAGAAACAAAUACAACCGUCAAAUUCAAGAGGUAUAAACAAGCAAACAACCUCAAAGUUUAUGCAUAACUAGUAAGUCAAAAGGUGGGCAUCAUCCAAGUAAGGAGUCCUUUGUCCAACCAAAGUAAAUGGGAAAUACAAAAUGAAAUGGAUACAUGAAUAAAUGAAGUGAGAACAACAUAAAACCAUACAAAAAAUGGAUCCCAAUCUCCUAAGAGCUUCACCAUCUACUAAACUCAAAAUUAGGUCAAGAAAAGAAGAAUGUAGCUCUUAAUAUGUCAUCAUGAUGAAGUGGUAAUGGAAUACCAUUCAAAGAAUCAUAAGAGCAAGGUAAAAAUAUACCAAGACCAAGGAAGUUAGAAUCAAAAGAAAUGAGGAGUAAAAAACAAUUGGACCGAUAAUACUCAAGUUGGAAUGCACAAGACACCAUCUAAACUAUGAUCUCAAAGGCAAGCAAAUAGGAUUCAAGAUAAUCAAGCAAAUAUGCAUCAAUUGGAGACACCUGAAAUGGUCCAAAUGAAUGAAUUUAGGACUCAUAAUGAUGAUGAAGUAGUUAAUCAAGGAGGGGAAAUAUAUCCCACAUGGUUGCACAAGUGCAUACCAAAAUAAAUCAUCUAGGUGCAAAAUGUAUCACCAGAAAACAAGCAUGCUUGAAUAAUUAAAUAAAAAUAUUUAGAAGCAUGGAAAAAUUAUGAAAAAUUAAACAUGGAAAGAUAAAGUCAUAAACUCAAUGUGUUCCAAAGAUGUAUUUAAAAUCAUGUGCAAAUGAUGUUCAAGAAAAUCAAUCAUUCAAACAAUGCACCAUUAAUUGGUCAUCCCAAGUAAUCUUCAAAAAUAAGUUCAGAAACAAUCCAAAAUUAAUAAUCCAAACAUCAAAUGAAAACCCAAAUGACCUAUAUUCAUAUGUCUAUAUGUGUACAAAAGAUUGGAUCAAAAUUCAAAUGGGAAGAUCCAAAAUCGAACCCUAACAAAUAAAACGAGGUUAAAUAAACAUAAUUAAAUAUAAAAGUCAAAACAUAUAUUAAAAUAAAUCAAAAAUAAAAACAUGGAAAUAUGGAAAAUUAAAUAAUACUAAAAAUAUCAUUCAUGAAUUAUUUGGGAAUUUUUAGACCAAGGGAGGUAAUUUAAAUAAAAUCAAAAGAAACAAUAAUCAAAUAAUAAAAGAAAAUGGAAUGGGGGUGCAUAUAAGAAAAUGGACCAAAGGCAAUCUGUUAACAUGAACAUGGCCCAAAAUAAAGGGGUGGGGAAAGCAACGUUGCACGCAGCCCCGUCCAAUAAUAAAUCAGAAAAAUAAAAAGGAAAAUGAAAUGGAGGGUGUCAUGCUUCAUGUGGAACCUUCCCUUAAUCGGUCACCCAACUCACUUAAAUGCUGGAAGACAAAACCAAACCAUGGCCAAUCAAAACACGCCAUGCACUCAUCUUCAACCUUGUCCAUGCACCACAACGAGUUUACAAACCCUAAAACCCGAUUUCAACAUGCCACCUUCUUUCUCACACAACUUCCUCAUCUCUCAACCAAAUCACACGAAGUUUGAAUAAAAAAUAUAGUACACAAAUGGUAGAACAUCAUGGCAUACUUAGUUUUUAAAAAUGGACAAAGGAGCAUGGAGAUGAAUGAGCAUGAACAUACAGGUUCAAACAAAAUCAAACAUCAUUCAAACAAAGUUAUACAAGGACAAAGGAGCAUGGAGAUGAAUGAGCAUGAACAUACAGGUUCAAACAAAAUCAAACAUCAUUCAAACAAAGUUAUACAUGAAAUUAUGAGUCUAGCUCCAUGAUCCAUUCCAAGAGUGGAUCUUCUAGAUGCAGAUGAAUGAGCUUAAGCAUGGUGAAUGGCUAGCAUGAAGAAGCAUAAAGUGAGGGAGACUUACCUAGUGGAGAAUGCCCACUGCACCUUGGAUUCUUGGAGAAAGAAGAUGAACAAGACCAGUAGGAAGAUGAUGAGCAGUGGUGAGCCAGGUAAAAGCUCAAAUGUAGCUUCAAUAAUGGAGAAAAAGUAGAGAAAAUGAAAAGGGUUCAGAUUUCCUAUACUUAUGUUCAGCCUCCAACCAACGUCCUCCUCUAGGUUUAGAGAGUAAAAAACCUUUUAUAUGAGCCCCAAGUGAGGGCAGAAGAGUCAACACACUUGGCCAAAGUUGAUAUCCCAAUUUUAGACAAAAUUAGAAUGAGAGUGAGGUGUGCAUUUUGCGUUUUAGAUGUGUUUUAGGUGUGCGGUGUGUCGUUUCAGGUUGUUGGAAUGGAGUGGAGAUAACCCAGAACUCUUGGGGACUUGGAGAGAGUGGAAAGAGAAGGAAAGGCAAAUUGGAAUAUAUCUAUAUUUGGCCCAAUUGAGGUAGCAUGUACAAGCAUGCAAAAGGUGUGUUGCUUGGUCAUAAAAAGCAUGGAAAGAAGGGUGGCAUGCGUGUGGGAAAGUUAUGCUACAAGUAAGAGCCAAAACAAUACCUAAACUCAAUGACAUUCAUAAUGUUGGGAAUUAAGGAUCAUUGAUGUUCAAGCCAACAUAACUUUAUGGUUCCUUGGCCAAAUGAGGGAAACUAGGGCUUUUUGGAAAGAAGGAAGGGAGAUGAACAAGUUUUAUGUUGGAAGAAAAAUGAAACAAAGCCUUGAAAUCCCUUAAAAAUGGCCACGAAAACAUUUGCUUGAAACUGCAUGCAUUCAUGCAAAUUAUAGGUCAAUUGGAAAUUGUGAGAUCCUAACUUGACAGCUUAAUAACUUGCUCAUCAAGCCACUAAAUGAAAAACUUUUUGAAGCAAAAAUAGAGGGGGGAAAUAGAGGGGGGAAUAUGAUCUAUAACUUUCAUGUUGAAGUCAAUUUAAAAUGAAACUUGCAUCUAGGUGGAAAAUGGCCAUCAAGAUGGUUGCUUGAAAUUGACCAAACACUUAGCAAAAUUUCACUAUCUUGUUGCAAGAACGCCAUGUUCUCCAAACCUUCAACUCAACUAAUUUCGAACGCAAGUCGCUUGAACCCUAAGCUUUCUUCACAAUCCUUCGAUUACCAUUACUUGUUUGACCGAACCUUCCGUUCUUCAAACUUUUCACUCAGCUGAAUCUGUGAAGCAAAGGUUAGUGUAAAAACCCUCAAUUCUUGAAGGAUAAAACCUCAAUGGUUUUAUUCAAGAAAAACCUACACAAAGUCUCAACCCAAACUAAGAUAAUCCAAUCUUAUUUGGACGUUAUCACAACAGUAAUGCACAAUGCUCAACAAAGAUUAUUAUGUGUGAUUAUUGAGAAAUGCAAUGCAAAAUGAAGAUGUUCUUGUGAAACCACAUAUAGAAAGUGAAAUCUUGUUAUUUUGUCGAAGAAGAGACACUUGAAUAUUUAUAUGAUGCAUGGACCAAAUAAAAACCAUAACAGAAAUAUUUUGCAAAGUUACACAUCAUAAAAUUAAGUAAAACAGGCGAUGAGUCGACUCAAACAGAGUUUUUCAAGGGUUGAGUCGACCUAUAACUCGACCUAUUCAGACCCGUGAUUACAUGGUUCAAAAUAAAAUAGGCAUUGAAUGGACGCAACAUGUGGAUGAGUCGACUCAUUCAAUUUUCCCAGGAUUGAGUCGACCUGUGACUCGACCUGUUCAGACCCGAGAGUUACGCUCUGAGUCAUUGAGUCGGCCUGUGACUCAACCUGUUCAGACCCGAGAAUUAUGCUCCGAAUCAUGAGUCGACUCAUAGUUCUUAAACUCCCAAAAAUGAGUUUUGAGAUGUGUUUUGACCAAAUUAAACCAAUCUCUUAUGAACCUAGGAUAUUAACGAUUAUCAAGUGCAUGAUUCACCUCUAUGAUAUGCUCCCAUAUGCCUGGACAUGCUGAACUUAUAUUUUGAACAUGUUAGAGGAUGGAUGCAUUCUAUAAUAUGAUGAUAUUGUCCAAGGUACAUGUUAUGGGCGAUUAGAAAGGUUUGACAUCAUUAAAAUAAGGACUAGGCAUAUUUGCCCUACUAUAAUAUGAUGAUAUUGUCCAAGGUACAUGUUAUGGGCGAUUAGAAAGGUUUGACAUCAUUAAAAUAAGGACUAGGCAUAUUUGCCCUCACAAAUUUUUGAUGAGAAACCAGCAGCCUGACACGGUCUCCCGUGUCAGCUGACACGUGCCAUGUCAAGACCAUGACAAAAGCCUUCAAAUUGAGAAUUGCAGGCGCUUGAAACGGCCGACCGUGGUGCUUUAUACAACCCGUGUCAGGAGCACUGAAGAAAAGGGUGAAAAUUAACAUUGGCAGAAGCCUGACACGGCCCGUGUCAGGACCACUGAAAACCACGCCCCGAAGAUGUUAAGUUACAUCAUCCUGACACGGCCGCCCAUGUCAGGCCUAUGGAUUUGAAAAUUUGAAAAUUUAUUGUAUAUUGUAUGGGCCCCACCCCUUAUUAAAACCCAAUAACCACUCAUUACACCCACUUAACACUUCCCAAAAAUAUGAUUUCAUUCAUUCUCCACUCAUUAUCUCUCACAAACUUCAUCUUCUCCACCAUCUCUCUCUCCAAAAACGUAAUCUUCCAUUAACCCCUCCCCCCCACACACACACACACAAAAAAAAAGCUUCCACCUUUACCACCAUAACAACCCCAAGUCACAAACUCCCUUCAUGAAUCCUUCUUCAUUUUUCGCCCUAAUCACACCCACAAUGUCUGUUUUCUCUAAUUCCAAUUUCGAAUUUAUCUUAAUUUUUGCAGAUACGAAAAUUCCCCUAUGGAGGAUUGUUCAAGGGUAGCAAAAAAUGGCCGAGAUCUCGUGGCCACAAAAGAGGAGCAGCCGUAAUCUGAACCCGCACAAUAUUGUCUUCGACAAUCCAGAGCAGGAGCAACAAUACUCCAUUCAUAGAAAGUGUAAGUUAACCCCACCAGGUACAUAUGCAAACAAACCCUUCAUGAUUUAGGCUUAAAGAGUGAAAUUUAUAGGAUAUUCCAUGUGUUAGGUAUGUUAGAAUUCAUGAGUCUCGAAGCGCCUACUUAUGAGCGCAUCACACUUGAAUUUUUUAGCACACUUGAAUUCCAUCUAGAGAAGCAGUGGAUUAACAUGACGAGGUACUGCUAUGGUACUCUUCGAUUUCGUCUUUUUAAUAAUUAUCAUGAGCUAUUUGUUGAGGAGUUGGCUGAUAUUCUCCGACUCCCACUGUACGGACCUGGUGCGGUCCCUAAAGGGUUGAUCCACAAGAUUUCUGGACUGCAAUUACUGGGAGGACUAAUUACACCUCCAAAGGUGCAAAAGCCUCUGGCAUCCAGAACCUGUGCUUCCUCUAUCCCCAAAAAGGUCUGGCGUAUACUAUGUUUGGACGGGGUGAUAGUACGGACGUGGCAACUCAACGGGAGUUGUUCUUCCUAUACUCAAUGGCACAUAAUUAGGCCAUCAAUGUUGCUGCCUUUGCAUCUAAUUACUUGGGGAGAGUUGGUCGGGCAGACACAGGUGGUAAUUUUGUUGGGGGUAUGAUUACCCAGAUUGCUAAACAUUUUGGUUAUCGUACGGUUUUGCUUAAAGAGACUACGGUGGCAGGUAAGACAACUUUUGAUAUGGCAACUCUCAUCCAAUAAGGUAUGAUUUCUAUUACACAUGAUUACUACUCUAUUAUGAUCCAUAAAAGGUUUAUCAUUUCACUACCUAAUCCUAACAGAGUAAGUGUUGCUGAUUGUGCUAAUUGGUUGUAUGUGAGUGCUGAUCCUGAUGCAGAGGAAGGCUACGAUGCUGAAAAUAUGGUUGCAGGUGAACAAAUGAAUGAAGACGAGCAGCAUCAGAAGCCGUUUAUACCCCCUGACCCAAGAGCCAACCAAGAAGGGAGCUGGGUCAUCAUCCAUGAAUUACGACCAGUGGGCACGGGUAAAAACCGAGCUCGGUGACCUUAAAACUAAGCAAUCAAGACAAGGCAUCGAGGAGGCCCAGUAAGGGGAAGUUUUGGAUGAGAUGAACCUGAUGAUCCGACAGUUGAUGUUGCACUUUCCGCACCAGCCUCCUCAGUAGGGCACUGUGAGUCACACUUCUUCUAUCUUGUUCUAAAACAUUAAGGUCAAUGUUUAGUUCAAGUAUGAGAGAGGUUUAAUUAUGCUUUUUGUUUUUAUGUUUUUUUUUAUUUCACAUUUUGUGUACUGUUUUACAUUUGGUUUGUCCGUUACUGUUGGGUAUCAUUUGUUGCAUGUAUUUCAGGUUCUUGUUGUUAUUGUUGGAUUAGAUGAUGACCAUUAGUGGUAGUGGAUGAAAUGAUCACUCCAUUUACUGUUGCUUGUUGUGAAUGAUCUUCCCAAAAAGUUGAUACUGCUAAAGGAAAGGAUUGGAUGCAACUGUCUCAAGCUCGACUAACAUAGGUUCCCUAUCAUUCUGAGCUAAGUAAGAAGACGCAUCAUACUAGAAGUACUGUGGAUUCUGUCAAACUUUACCUAACAUGGUGAGUGCAUAAAAAGCCAAACACAUUUGUCAUCAUGAACUAUAUUCAGGUAUGUCUUUAUCACACUGAGUUUGCGUAAUUUCUCUUGGAAUAUCACUGCAUAUAUAUACACACUGAGGCAUAUUGUUUAAGUAAUAUCCCUGAGCCUUUCUAGUGAUCCCUUUAAUAUUAUCCCUCGUUAACCCCGUUUGAGCCUGUACCCUUUGUUUGUAUAUAUAACCACAUGAAUGUAACUCGCGGCCCAAACACUUCCUUACCCUGUUCAGAGAAAAUGUUAUAUUCUUUAAGCUGUGUUAAAUUCUAAGUUUGGGGUAACCCCAUAAGUAUCUGAAAGUAAGGUGAGUCCGAAAAAAGAUUGAGAAAAACGAUCAUCGAAAAAAAAUGAAAAAAAAAGAAAAAAAAGAAAAAAAAAAGAAAUUCGAUGGAACAAGAAAAGCACUCACCGAAUGAGAAACACUCAGUUGGGUAUAAAUAAAUCAAAGAAAAAAAAGAGAACUGAGUAACAAACUAGAAAAAGAAAAGAAUGGGAAAUGAUAUGUUAGAACAAACACAGUGAAAAGAAUAAUGACAUUGACUCUGAACCCAAAAAAAUUUGUUUGUAUUUACCCCAUCGUAGCCCAAGCCCUGUUAUAACCCGAAAGACCUCAAAAAAUGUGUGUUGUGUGUAGUUGAUACGAAAGGAAAAGCUAUUCAAAUUUAGGAGUCAAUAUUGCAUAUUCUAAAAUGUGAGUGUAAACACUUUAACCCGGAGAAAAUUGGUGAGAGUGUGAUAUAAGCUGAAAGGUGAAGUAGUACGUCAAUAUGGAAGUGCGGCGAAAAACCAAUGAGGAAAAGCAGGGACUAUAAAAGGGAGCAUGAAGGUGUGUGGAGAAAGAUCUCAGCAGUAUUGUGGUAAGAAAAAUUCAGUUUUAGGAAGUGACACACUUUGUCGUUUAGAACAUUACAUGAGGACAAACAAUGAACUAAGUUUGAGGUUGUGAUCGGUCAUCAUUUCUACUGUAUUUUCAUUACUUAUUCGAUAAGAAACCAAGGAUUUUAGAAUACUUUAUUCGCAUUAUGUUACCUUUUAAGUUAGUUUUCAUUUCUGUAAGUUAAUUAAGUGUUUUAUCAAUUUUUAGUUUUAUUUUGUGUUUUCGGGAUUUUAUGUUUUGGUUGUCUGUUUUUAUUCCCUCCAGGUCCAAGUAGAAGAUCCAACGGACUCAAUGCAAGAAAGUCGAGAAUUCCAGUGUUCGAGGAAAGAAGUUAUGAAGUUUCAAGAAGCCUGACACGGCCACCAAUGUCACCUGACACGAGCCGUGUCAGGAUGGGGACCUAAUGAAGCUAAAGAGGAAGGCCUAGGCAGGGGCCUGACACGACCACUUGUGUCAGCCUACCUGGGAUGAAGCUGAAGAUGAGGACCAAGGAGGGGCCUGACACGGCCACCCAUGUCAGCCCAAGGGCAAAAUAUUCCAAUUUUUGGGCUUUUACCCGGACUAGAGCAACAAGGACGUUCUGGGGAUUUCCAACUAUUGCCAAGGGAUUUUACUAUUUUAGAAGAGUUUCUACGAGAGAUAAAGGACACUUUUUAGAGCAAGGAGAAAAUAGAGCACAGAGAAUUGUCAGACGAUCGAGAAUUAUAGAGAUCAAGGAAUUUGGAGAGCGGAAGAUUUUCAUGAGCUGAAGCAAUUGAAGAUCCAAGUCAUCCAAUUACUUGUAAUGUGUAAUUUUUAUCUUCAAUCUAUUUUUAACAAUAUGAGUAGCUAAACCCCCUAAUGCUAGGGGGUGUCCCUAAUUUAGAUCUGUAAUGACUUUGAGUUUGCGAUUGCAUUGAUAAUAUUGUUUUUCAUAAUUACGAUAAUCUUUUGAUGUGUUUAAUGGUUUCUCUUUCGAACCAAUUUAGAUUGUUGUAUGGUUAUCAAUUAUGCUUGACCGCCAUUGAUAAGUUUUUCAUAAAAUUACUCUGCAGUAGAUAUCACCUAGGACUAGGGAUACCUUGUAUGAACCAGAUGAGUCUUGAUAUAAUAAGGUUUAAUUUCACCGGUAAUUUCCUAUGGACAGAGAAAUUAGGGUUGGAUGAUUAAAGGUUUUCUCACCAAGACCUUGGGAGAAAAUACCCUUGAGAACUGGUAGUAGUUAAUUGAUAUUUGUUGAUGCAAUAGUGACUCAGAGUUGUUACAGGGACAAAUUAUACACCUUCCCUGGCAUGUUCCUUUUUCCUUGAAACCCUUAUUUUUACAGUGUUUAUUUUAUUUUCCAUUAUUUUUAUAAGUUUAAAUUAAAAAACCUCAACACUAGUUUUUGUUUAAUUGAACGAUGAUUUGAACUCGAUAUUAUCGCGCAGUCCUUGAGAUUGGAAUUCGAGGAAUUUCCCCUUUAUUACUACAAAAGGCAAAGUAGUACACUUGCUAUUUUUCCGAUCAAGAAUCAUUUGUGUUAUUUACUUUUAGCAGUGCAUUUUAACAUCCUUAUUAUUAUUUUUGUCUGAAGUUCUGAUAUUAGUGUUGUGAUAUUGCAUACAACAUCUGAUAUAUGAAUACUAGAAUUUCAAUUACUUUUGGAGCUAAUUCUUGUCUUAUGACCAUCUCCCCCAAAUUUAGACAAACAAUCUUACCAUAUUUUGUAUUGCCUUGAAUGUUGAUAAGUGUUCCAAUCAAACUAUCACACAUAUUUUUCUCCACAUGCAUCAUAUUAAGAUAAUCUCUUACAUUAAGGCUUGAUCAAUAAGGAAGAUCAAAGAACACUUACCUCUUUUUCCAUAUAUUUUCUCCACAAGCCCUUUUUGGUUAUUUCCAAAGACAACAUUAAUGUGAUUUUGUCAUUUAUAAACUUCCUCCUCAGUUAAGUUCUUUGUAGCAAUACCAAACUAUUAUUCAUCAUUAAAGGUCUUUUGCAAUCUACAAUAUGGAUGGUUGUGUCAUAGAAAACUUUGAUGCCAAAGGUAAAUAUUCUCUUUUCCAUUCUUUAUUUGGUGGAAGCAUAUAUUAGCUUCACAUAUAGGACAUUCUUUAUGUCCCUUAAUGUUGUACCCAACACUACUACAAAUAACACAUGUCCUAUUGGACGCGAAAUGGAAUUCACCUAAGUUACAAUGCCAAGGUAACAAAGGGUGACAUGAAAAGUGGGAACUUUACCCCUCGGUUUAAAAAUAAUCGAGGGGUUAUUUAAACAUUCUCUUUUCCAUUAUUUAAUCAGGAUACAACUCAUAAUCCUCACACAUGUGGAGGAACUUGUUCACGCGAUUUCAGUCCCCCUUUCUCACUUUAUAAAUAAAAACAUCCCUAAUCAUUUGAGAGGAAAGAAACAAUAACAUUGAAUCACUGUUAAAACCAUUCCCCACCUUACUCUGAGCUCAAGAAAAAAAAUCAAAACAUUAUCAUAGCCUCAUGUUAAAGCUCUGAUCAAGGCGAGCUUAGCUUAGCAAAAUACAAUAACACAACCUAUAAAGAAGCGCGAUGCACAAAAGAAGAAGAAGAGUACCAAGAGACAAAAAAUUUACCUGAAGACAGAUCAGAGUUGAAUUCUUUGCAAAUUGUGGGUAGUCCUCUUUCACCUUUACUUUUAUUAUGCAUUUCACUUUGCUUUGUUGCUUUGCCAUGAAUGUAGCUUGUAAAUUGCAUGAUUUAAUCGAUUGUUGUAGCCGAAUCUCUAAUGAAAAAGGGGUUUUGGGGUUAUUGGGAUGAGGAAUUAGGUUUGUGGUUUUUGAUAUUAUGUGUUUACUCCGUUUUACUCUGUUGUUGCAAUUGUUGUCAGCAUGAUUCAUGCUUCCGUUAUGCUUGUUUUUGUGGAGUUUAAUCUGUUAGAUGAGGGCGAUGUAUGUUGUGAAAUCAUGAUUAAGGUGUUGAUUUCAUUGAGAUGAAGUUUGUAGUGGCACUUUUAGGUUUAUUUUGGCAAAAAAAUUGUCUGGUUUAGGAAGAGUUUGAGAACACUUGAAAGAGAUGAGGCGGGGGAAUUAGGUUUUGAAAAUGGAAGGGGAAACCGGAUUCUGGGGUUUUAUGACAAGGGUUUGGCCCAACCCGACUUCAUAUUUGCUUGGCCCAAAUUGAUUCAUCAUGUUGGGUUUUUUAUUUCUUCUAAUUUUUUUUGCUAUGGCAUUACCCCUUUUGUAAUAUACCCCGUUGGCCCAUCAUUGUUUUGUUUUACUAUUUAUAUUCUUGGUUUAUUGUUUGCACCUAUUAUUAUGAAAGUGAAUUACAAAUAUAUUAAACACUUUCAAAAAAAAAAAGAAAAAAAAAUUAGAGUUUUUAUCAUAUUCAAUUCUUUUUUUCCUUUUAUUUGUUCUUUUUUCUUUAUCAUAAAGGAAAUACAAAAAUAUUAAAUACUGUUAGAUGGAUGAUUUAGAUUUCCCUUACCAAAUAAAGUUUCAAAACUACUUAGAAAUAAUUUUGACUCUUUGUUUGCUUGACUUGUUUAGUCUUUGGUGUUUGUGUAAAUACUUGCUUGUGUGUUUAUCCAUGAUUUAUUUAGUCUUGUAUUUUUCAUAAUUCAUUCAAACGUAAAUCAAAUGUUUGACCCAACAUCAAGCACUUUUCAUAAUCAAACUAAAAAGCAUUUACUCCAUACUUUGACCUUUUCAUAAUAAAUAGAGAAAAUGGCUACCUGGGUGAAAGAUCCAGUCAUAGCUCCGAUGUAUUAGGCCCAAGUAGUAAUUGCUUGCAAGUCAUAAAUACUUUGUCCUUCUCUAAAAAUACAAACACGUCACAACUUCAUAAUAAAUCAAAAGAAAAAGGCUACAUGGGUGAAAGGUCCAGUAAUAGUCCCAAACACCAAGCCCGAGUAGUAAUUGCUUGCAAGGUCAAGUGUUUAUCUUUCAUUAAAAAUACUUAUAACUACUCAAACACUUUCACAACAAAUUAAAAAGAAAAAGACUACCUGGAUGAAAGUUCCAGUCAUAAUCCUGACUAUUAGAACCAAGUAGUAAUUGCUUGCAAGUCAUGAAUAUUCGUCUUCCAAACCCUAAAACACACUUAAACAAAUAAAACCUAUCUUUUCUCGCCCCGUGCGAUCGAAACCCUUUUCAGAAAGAACAUUGUUUAGUCUGUUCUAAUGCGAAUGCAAACUAGAGCUUAAGCCUCCACCACGAGUAGACAAGCCAACAUUUAACCGUUAGAGCGCAAUCUAAACAAACCAACCAACAAAAACGUAGCCUUUCCCGAACUAAGAAGCUUUGAGUUCCUCAUUGUACCCGAGGAUACGUAGGAGCGAGAUCUUCAAUCUCAUUAAGCACCCUAUUAAAAAAAUUGAGACCCCUUUUCUUUUUUAUUUUGUACAUUUUAUCAUUCGAAGAAAACAAUUAACGAUGGCUAACAUUCAAUCGCAAAUCUAACUAAAAGGUUCUCGUUGAAUACAACAGACAUGAUGAGUGUUAAUGCUUUUCCCUUGCGUAAUCGACUCCCGAACCUGAAUAUGGUUGUCGUGACCAUUUUCUUUCUUAAAGGUUUUAUCAAUAUUUUCCCUUUCCUUCAUUGGAAUAAAUAAAUUUAUGUGGCGACUUUGUUCAAAUCAUUUUUUUCGCGACCAUCGCAAAGGAUUAUAAUUUUUGAGAUGCAACUAAGACAACAUGAGAAUCAUCAAAAUAGACGGAUAACACAUGCAUCUCCCAAUGUAGGGUGCCUAGUCACCCAUUCAUCAUAAUACACACCCAUUAUCUCUAUAAUUCGUCCUUUGAUUAAUCACUCGUCUUAUGGGUGGAUCGGACUCUGAAGGUGGUUCAAGCUAUGAAGGUGGAGCUUCUAAAGGUGAUCGUUCUUAUGAAGGGUUUUAAAGGCCAUAAAGAGUUAGACAGAUACCAAGGAGAUUUGCAGAUUUUGGAGUUGCUGCAAGUUGCUGAGAUUGAUUCUGAAGGAGAGGUCAUACAGAGUGCCAUGAUAGUGGAGUAUAAGCCUAUCAUAAUCAUUGAGGCUCUCAAGAAGAAGGUGUAGGUGAACUCCAUUAAGGAAGAGCUUGAGGCCAUUGAAAGAAACAAGACAUGGAAAUUGAUUGUUCUACCUCAGAACAAGAAAGUCAUCAAUGUGAUAUGGGUUUUCAAGAUAAAAUUGAAGCCAGAUGGUUCAGUUGCUAAGUAUAAAUCAAGGUUAUUAGCUAGAGGAUUCCUACAAAAUUCUAGUUUAUACUAUUUUGAAGUGUUUGCACCUAUAGUCAGACAUGAAACCAUAAGGUUGGUUAUUGCUAUAGUUGCAAAUAGGAAUUAGCCUAUAAUACACUUAGAUGUAAAUUUAGAUUUUCUAAAUGGUCCAUUGCAAGAAUAAGUUUAUGUGUUACAACCUCCUGAAUUUGUGAAAGAGAACAAAGAAGGGAUGAUGUAUAAGCACAUAAAGCUUUGUACGGGCUGAAACAAGUUUCAAGGGCUUGGAAUCUAAAGAUUGAUUCAUUUUUCAAGCAUCUAGGAUCCAAGAAAUGUGAAAUGGAAUUAAUAUAAUGUGUAUGUGCAGCAUACUUCUGAAAGUAAUAUGAUUCAGACGUUUCUUUAUGUGGAUGACAUACUUUUGACAGAGAGUUGUAUUUCUGAGAUAAACAAGUUCAAGAAGGUGCUGAUGAAUGCAUUUAGUAUGAAUGGCCUUAGAAAUAUGAUAUAUUUUCUAGGGAUGGAGAUUUUACAUUUUGAGAAGGGAAUUAUUGUGCAUCAACUGAAGUAUGAACUUGAUUUGCUGACGCGAUUUGAGUUGAUGAAUUGUAAGUCAACAGUCAACCCUAAUGAGACAAAUCAUAAACUGGACUCUGGUGAUGAUGGUGAGAAUGUAGAUGCUACAACAUUCAAACAGUUAGUUGGUUUUUUUAGAUAUCUGUCUAAAACCAGGCUUAACAUAUGUUAUACAGUUGAAAUGGUGAGUAAGUUUAUGAGUAAAGCAAAGUGGUCAUAUUACCAAGCUGUAGUCAGAAUUCUGAGAUAUGUAAAAGAAUCUUUGAGGCAUGAAAUUUUGUUUCAUCUGGAGAAUCAGAUAAUGUUGAUCUGAUAUGCUACUCAGACUCUGACUGGUGUGGUGACAAAAUGAACAAAAGAAACACUACAUGAUACACGUUUAUGUAUCUAGGGGCUCCUAUUUUUUGGUGUUACAAGAAGCAAUCAGUUGUUGCAUUGUCAAUUUGUGAAGCUAAAUAUAUAGCUGGUGUUUUGUCAAUCUACCAUAAAUCUUGCUAAGAAUUCAAUGUUGCAUGGAAGAAUACAAUCAGAUUCAUAAUGAAAUAUUUGAGGUUGUUCAUAUCAACACUCAUGGGCAACUUCCAGAUGUGCUGACCAAGACAAUCAAAAUUGAACACUUUAUUAAUUUAAAAGAUAAAAUUGAUGUUGUUGAUAGUUAAACUUAAAUGGGAAUUGUUCAAGUUAUUUUAGUUUUGAAUUUCAUUUGCUUUUAAAUUUCAUAUGUGAAUUUGAUUGUUUGUAUAAACUCAAAUUUAAUUAUAUUUAUAAUAGAUUUUAGUUUUGCAAUUUCGAGCAAUUUUAAGAUUAGAAAAUUUAUUUUUUUCAAUUCUCUGCUCCACCACUGUUGUUCAUCUUCUUGUAUAUUAAUUAAUAGAAAUUCAGUGUUAACUCUAACCAAAACUGGAAAAGAAAUAUGAAAGACAAAAUUUCUCUUAAAGAAAAUAGUGUAUUCUCUGCCACCACUGUUCUUCAUCUUCUUGUAUAUUAUUAAUUCUAACCCAAACCGGUGUGAUUAUGAAAAGAAAUAUGAAAGACAAAAUUUCUCUUAAAAGAAAUUGGCCUUUGAAAAAAAGAUAGUGUGAUGUAUUUAUCUUCAUUAUCAUAAAAGUUAUUAUCAAUAGAGUAAUAUUAUUUCUACAUCAAUUUUUUACACUAAUAUUUAUAUCAAAUAUUAUUCACCAUACAAUAGUAUUUUUUUAAAUAAAAUAAUAUUAAACUUAUUUUAAAUUAAAAAUAUUUUUUAAAAUUAAUUUUAUAAUAUAAUAUUUAUCAUUAAUCAAUUUUAAUAAAAAUACAUGUUAUUAAUUGCAUAUUUUCUGAUAACUUAUUAAUCAAUUUCAUUAUUUUAUUAAUUAAUAAAAUAUUUAAUAUUAAUCAAAUUCUAAUAUUAGUUUAUUAUUUAAUUAAUGAAUUUUAAAAAUUAGAAAAAAUAAAUAAUAAAAUAAAUUGGUUAAUAUUAUACAAUUUUAUAAACUAGUAACUACAUAAUAUUAAGCAAUUUUAUUUAGUAUUUAUUAUUUUUAAAUUUUCAAAAUUUAUUAAUCAAAUUAUAAAUUAAUGUUACAACUGGAUUAAUACUAUGUAUUUUAUUGGUUAAAGAAAUAAUAAAAUUAAUUAAUAAAUUAUUUAGAAAAUAUAUGGUUAAUAAUAUAUAUUUUUAUGGUUAAUAAAAUAAUAAAAUUGAUUAAUAAUAAAUGUUAUGUUUUUAUUACAAAAUUAAUUUUUUUUUAAUAUAUUUUUAGAAAUAAAAUUUUAAUAUUAUUAUUUGAUGUAGAUAUUGGGGUAGAAAAUGGAGUGUAGGAAUAACCUUACUCUUAUCAAUAUACACGGUGAUCGGUCCUGAAUCAAGGAAAAGUAAUACAAUAUCUCUCGUAUAGAGGAGGAAACAUAUAAGCUUAUAGAGGAGGAAACAUAUAAGCUUAUUGAAACACUACUUUUAUUUUCUAUAUACUAUAUGAUUACACGUACGUACACACACAAAAUCAUAGUCAUCAUCAUGUACAUACACGAGUGACCAAUCACAAUAUAGAGGAGGAAACAUAUAAGCUUAUUGAAACACUACUUUUAUUUUCUAUAUACUAUAUGAUUACACGUACGUACACACACAAAAUCAUAGUCAUCAUCAUGUACAUACACGAGUGACCAAUCACAUAAACAAAUAAUGACUAAUAAAUAAAUCGAAUUCCUAACCGCCUAAAGCAAGAAUUCAAUAAAAUAAAAUAAAAAUAUUUAUAGACAGACACGUCUAAGCUAAAACCAUGGAGACGAAUAUUCCAGCAAGAGAAGUAAUGGCAACAAAGGUAUUUGUGAUAGAGAAUGCAGCUGAGGGUGCCUCAGCUUCUCCUGGGUUUGAUGCUGGGCCAUUUGUUCCUGGUGCUGGUGGAGAAGAAGUGUUUGGAAUUGGUGAUGAAGGAGAUGGUGAUGGAGAAGAAGUAGUUGUAGGAGAGGGUGCUGGAGAAGUCUUUGUGGAGGGUGAUGGAGCAGGUGCUGAAUUGGGUGAUAAUGAUCGGGUAGGUGCGGGUGCAGGAGCCUGUUGUGCUAUGCAUGAAGUAGCCAACAACCCCAAUAUCACAAACACUUUGAUUGCAACAGAACCCAUGUUUUUAUAUGUUUUUUUGAUAGAGAAGAAUGUUUAGUGAAAUAUGAUUGAAUCAAUUAUAGAGAAGAAUGGACUAAGGUUAUUGAUUUGUGUUGUCCAAAAUAUAUAGUGAAAAAUAAAUAUGAUACUGGUGGUGUGUAUUUCAGCAAAGGCGGUUUGUGAUUAAUAAUGCUCUAUGAACAAGUAAUCAUUAAAAAGGUACUGAGAUCACUUAAUCCUCAGUUUGAUUACAUAGUUGUAACCAUAUAACACUUUAAAGAUACCAACAUCAUAAGAAUUGAAGAGCUUCAGAGUAGUUUGAAGGCACAAGAGUUGCGUAUGACUGAAAGAAACUCUGAACAAGUUAGAACAUGCUCUGAAAUCUCAGACUCUAAAAGCUUCUUAUGGAAAGAAGAACCAGAAGCAAACAUGGUUAGAGAAUAAGAAGAAUCUGCCUAAGAAAUUGUGGGGUGAUGAAAUUUCUACUUCAGUAUAUGUGCUCAAUAGAUGUCCAAUAAAGAAGUUAAAGGAAAUAGUUUUUAUUGAGAAGUGAACUGGAAGAAAGCAAAGUGUUAGCCAUUUUAAGGUAUUUGGUUCAAUAUGUUACACACAUAUACCAGAUGCUACUAGAAGGAAGUUGGAUGACAAAAACAAGGUUAUGUUGCUUAUAGUUUACCAUAGUACAUGUACUUAUAAGCUCAAUUGCCAAGUCACCAACAAAGUUGAAGUCAAUAGAGAUGUCAUAGUCAAAUAAUCAUAAACAUGGGAUUGGAGCAAGUCUCAAUCCAACUAUAGUGUAGUGUCAUCGCUAGAGUCUGAUUCUUCCUCUGAAGGAGAUUCUGUCUCUGAAGGUGAUUCUAAGAUGACUUUAAAUCUGAAAGUGAGUUUGGCUCUGCAGAUGACUUUGACUUUGAAGGUGACUCUGAUGGUGGAUCGGACUCUGAAGGUGGUUCAAGCUAUGAAGGUGGAGCUUCUAAAGGUGAUCGUUCUUAUGAAGGGUUUCAGAGGCCAUAAAGAGUUAGACAGAUACCAAGGAGAUUUGCAGAUUUUGGAGUUGCUGCAAUUUGUUGAGAUUGAUUUUGAAGGAGAGGUCAUACAGAGUGCUAUGAUAGUGGAGUAUAGGCCUAUCAUAAUCAUUGAGGCUCUCAAGAAGAAGGUGUAGGUGAACGCCAUUAAGGAAGAGCUUGAGGCCAUUGAAAGAAACAAGACAUGAAAAUUGAUUGUUCUACCUCAGAACAAGAAAGUCAUCAAUGUGAUAUGAGUUUUCAAGAUAAAAUUGAAGCCAGGUGGUUCAGCUGCUAAGUAUAAAUCAAGGUUAUUAGCUAGAGGAUUCCUACAAAGUUCUAGUUUAUACUAUUUUAAGUGUUUGCACCUGUAGUCAGACAUGAAAUCAUAAGGUUGGUUAUUGCUGUAGUUGCAAAUAGGAAUUAGCCUAUAAUACACUUAGAUGGUAAUUUAGAUUUUCUAAAUGGUCCAUUGCAAGAAGAAGUUUAUGUGUUACAACCUCCUAAAUUUGUGAAAGAGAACAAAGAAGGGAUGGUGUAUAAGCACAUAAAGCUUUAUACGGGCUGAAACAAGUUCCAAGGGCUUGGAAUCUAAAGAUUGAUUCAUUUUUCAAGCAUCUAGGAUCCAAGAAAUGUGAAAUGGAAUAUAAUGUGUAUGUGCAACAUACUUAUGAAAGUAAUAUGAUUCUGACGUUUCUUUAUGUGGAUGACAUAUUUUUGACAGAGAGUUGUAAUUCUGAGAUAAACAAGUUUAAGAAGGUGCUGAUGAAUGCAUUUAGUAUGACUGGCCUUAGAAAUAUGAUAUAUUUUCUAGGGAUGGAGAUUUUGCAUUCUGAGAAGGGAAUUAUUGUGCGUCAACUGAAGUAUGAACUUGAGUUGCUGACGCGAUUUGAGUUGAUGAAUUGUAAGUCAACAGUCAACCCUGAUGAGACAAAUCAUAAGUUGGACUAUGAUGAUGAUGGUGAGAAUGUAGAUGCUACAACAUUCAAACAGUUAGUUGGUUUUUUGAGAUAUCUGUCUAACACCAGGCUUAACAUAUGUUAUACAUUUAAAAUGGUGAGUAAGUUUAUGAGUAAAGCAAAGUGGUCAUAUUAUCAGGCUGUAGUCAGAAUUCUGAGAUAUGUAAAAGAAACUCUGAGGCAUAAAAUUUUGUUUCAUCUAGAGAAUCAGAUAAUGUUGAUCUGAUAUGCUACUCAGACUCUGACUGGUGUGGUGACAAAAUGGACAAAAGAAAAACUACAUGAUACACGUUUAUGUAUUUAGGGACUCCUAUUUCUUGGUGUUACAGGAAGCAAUCAGCUGUUACAUUGUCAAUUUGUGAAGCUAAAUAUAUAGUUGGUGCUUUGUCAAUCUAUCAUAAAUCUUACUAAGAAUCCAGUGUUGCAUGGAAGAAGCAAACACAUUGAUAUCAUUUUCUACACAACCAGGUUGAUAAUGAAAUAUUUGAGAUUGUUCAUAUCAACACUCAUGAGCAACUUACAGAUGUGCUGACCAAGACGAUCAAAACCGAACAUUUUAUUAAUUUAAAGGAUAAAAUUGAUGUUGUUGAUAGUUAAACUUAAAUGGGAAUUGUUCAAGUUAUUUUUGAAUUUCAUUUGCUUUUAAAUUUCAUAUGAAUUUGAGUUGAAUUUGAUUGUUUGUAUAAACUCAAAUUUAAUUAUAUUUAUAACAGAUUUUAGUUUUGCAAUUUCGAGCAAUUUCAAGAUUGGAAUUUUUUUUUUUUCAAUUCUCUGCUCCACCACUGUUGUUCAUCUUGUAUAUUACUCCCUCCGUUUCUUUUUAAGUGUCGUUUUAGAAGAUUUUUUUUGUUCCUAUUUAAGUGUCGUUUUGAUGUUUUAAUGUUACAAUUUGUCAAUUAUACCCUUACUAUUUAAAUUAAUCAAACUUUGAUAUUUUCCAUAAAUUUUUCUUUCUUAUAUAUGUAAUAACUCACUCCACAUUUUCCAUAAAAUUCUCUUUCUUAUACGUACUCUCAUUCCCAUACAUAACUCCCAUUCCUAUUCAAAGUAUUGUCUGGUCAAUAAAAAUUAAAUUCAAAUGAUAGCUUCCAAUGUUACAUAGAAAAAUGUAUUAGCAUUAAAUUUUGUCAAAGGAACAAAUUUACCAAUUGAAGACUUAAAAUUCUAUAAAAAGGAUCAGUAGCAUUGUUUAAAUUAUCAAAGUGCAAAACAAAAGAGCUCUGGUGGAAACAACAAAAGACUCCAUGGAUGUUCAAAAAAAGAAAGAGUGGGAAGACACAUGAAAUUAAAAAAAUAUACCUGUGUCAUUGUUGUUUCAACCUCCUCUUGUAAGUUAUCUUCACAGGACUCAUCAAUAUUAUUGGUUGCUUCAAACUCCUCUUCUAAGUUAUCUUCAUCAAACUCAUAUAACUCAAAUAUAUGUUGGUUUGUUAAUGAUGUUUCUGUAUCACUAUCUAAAUCCAUAUUUUAUGAGUUGUAAAUAUUUUGAACUUAUAUAUGAAACCAUACUAUAUGUUACACUGGUUUUAAUUUUUCGUGGGAAACUUAAGUUUUUAUUAAAUAAUGGAGGGAUAUUUUUUCCUUUAGCCAUUCAUUGAAACAAUAAGCAAUAAGUUUUCCUUUAGCCAUUAAUGAAAAUGCAAGCGUACGUAUCCUAUAGCAAGCAAUAUUAAUUCCAAAAAUUUAGGGGUAGUUGAAAAUGCAACGGAGAGAGAGAGGAGUUAUGUGGAGAAAAUUAUGGAAUAGUUAUUUGAAGUAAAUAAUUUAAUGAGUACUGUAUAGUUAAUGAAUUUUAUUUAGAAAGAGAAAGUAUAUGGUGGAUUAAAAUGAGGGUACAAUGGGAAAAAAAUUAUAACAAUUCAUUUAUCUUGGUUGGAGAGCUUUAUGCUAAAACGACACUUAAAAAGAAACGGAGGGAGUAAUUAAUAGAAAUUCAGUGUUAACUCUAAUCAAAAACUGAAAAAAAAUAUGAAAGACAAAAUUUCUCUUGAAAAAAAUAGUGUAUUCUCUGCCACCACUGUUCUUCAUCUUGUAUAUUAUUAAUGAAAAUUCACUGACUCUAACCCAAACUGGUGUGAUUAUGAAAAGAAAUAUGGAAGACAAAAUUUUUCUUAAAAAAAUAUUGGCCUUUUGAAAAAAAAUAGUGUGAUGUAUUUAUCAUCAUUAUCAUAAAAGUUAUUAUCAAUAUACACGGUGAUCGGUCCUGAAUCAAGGAAAAGUAAUACAAUAUCUCUCGUAUAGAGGAAUCAUAUAGGCUUAUUGAAACAACUAAUUUUAUUUAGUAUAUACUAUAUGAUUACACGUACGUAUACACACAGAAUCAUAGUCGUGAUAAAUUACAGAAACAAAUAACGACUAAUAAAUAAAUCGAAUUCCUAACCGCCUAAAGCAAGAAUUCAAUAAAAUAAAAAAUAUAUAUUUAUAGACAGACACGUCUAAGCUAAAACCAUGGAGACGAAGAUUCCAGCAAAAGAAGUAACGGCAACAAAGGUAUUUGUGAUAGAGAAUGCAGCUGAGGGUGCCUCAGCUUCUCCUGCUGGGCCAUUUGUUCCUGGUGCUGGUGGAGAAGAAGUGUUUGGGGUUGGUGAUGAAGGAGAUGGUGAUGGAGAAGAAGUGGUUGAUGGAGAGGGUGCUGGAGAAGUCUUUGUGGAGGGUGAUGGAGCAGGUGCUGAAUUGGGUGAUAAUGAUCGGGUAGGUGCGGGUGCAGGAGCUUGUUGUGCUAUGCAUGAAGUAGCCAACAACCCCAAUAUCAGAAACACUUUGAUUGCAACAGAACCCAUGUUUUUAUAUGUUUUUUUGAUAGAGAAGAAUGUUUAGUGAAAUAUGAUUGAAUCAAUUAUAGAGAAGAAUGGACUAAGGUUAUUGAUUUGUGUUGUCCAAAAAACACUUUGAUUGCAACAGAACCCAUGUUUUUAUAUGUUUUUUUGAUAGAGAAGAAUGUUUAGUGAAAUAUGAUUGAAUCAAUUAUAGAGAAGAAUGGACUAAGGUUAUUGAUUUGUGUUGUCCAAGUGCAUAACUUGUGUAUAUAUAUAUAUAGUGAAAAAUAAAUAUGAUACUGGUGGUGUGUAUUUCAGCAAAGGCGGUUUGUGAUUAAUAAUGGGUCAAAUAAAAAAGAUACUACUUUUCCUUAUUUGUUAAAAAAAAAUCUUUAAUAUUUUUUUUGCAAGUUAAGUAAUACGAAAAGCUGGUACCUUUGGUAUAACCGCGUUUAACCCUUCUCGCUUUGAUUUUUUCUACCGCUGUUUCUAGAUUACCGAAUAUUCAAAGGUUGAUUUGUUCACGUAAGAGUUAUGGAAACUGAUAGGUUGAUAAGGUUCAAACGCGGUUUCUCUUUAUCACAAAAGUUCAAUAUUUUAAAUCGGCGACCAUUAUAUAAGGUCAAUUAAGCGAUAAGUCAAUAAUUUAUUGAUGUUGAAGAUUCUUUUAGUUAACUUUCUUUAAUUUCUCCGCAAUUUGCAUUUUGAUUUUGAUAUUAAUGUUUUUCUUAAUUUAAUUCUAGUAUGAGUCUAUAAUUUUAGGUCAGUACUGUUUUAAAAACUGGAUUGAAAGAUAAGUCGGCAAAAUAUUUAUUUAAGAUUCAAUUGGUUAAAAAUAAGUUUAUCAAAACAUCAAAUCGUAUAAAAUGUUUUAAGGUUUCCUCGCUACAAAUAAAUAAAUUUGUUUCCAUAUAAUAAUGGACAAGAGUAGUUAUGUUUUUAAAAUGAUAUAAAAACUUUAUUAUUAAAUUAUCUAAUUUAUAAUCUUUUAACUUUUUAAUAUAUAUAUUAAAAUUUUAUUUAAAAAUUAUCAAUAAUUAAAAUAACUAAAAAUAUUUAAAUAUUACAAAUCUCUUUUUUUUAUGUUUAAAAUAUGCGGUUUACUCUAUAAUUUAAUUAUUAAUUCUAAUUUUUAUAUAAAAAGGUAUACAAAAUUUCAGAAUUAAGAGUAAUCGGUCAAUAUAUUAGGUAAAUCUAAGAUUUCAUUUUAAUAUAAUAAUAAUAAUAAUAAUAAUAAUAAUAAUAAUAAUAAUAUUUAUAUAUUUUUAUGUAUUGAUAUACAAAAUCUAUUUUCAUUAAUCAAAUCAAUAAAGAACAACCAAAAAGACUAAUAAUAGUUUUACUUUGAUUUUUUUUAUGUGAUUUAGAUAUUUUGUGUUUUCCUACUUCGGAGGAAAUGAUCUCAUAUAUUUAGUAGAGAUUAUAGUAGAAUGUCUUUGGGCCAGUUUGUUUUAGCUUUAGAAAAAUAGAUUUUUUUUUUGUAUUUUUGAAAAUGAAUUUUACAAAAUUAUUUUUCAAAAUAUUAUAAGUUUUUCUAAAUUUACUUUUUAUAAAUUAAAAAACUAAUUUUGAUAUACUAUGACAUAAACCUACAUUAUUGAAGAUCAAAGUAUAGUCAAAAUCAUUUUUUUUUCAAAAAUAUCUAUUUUUAAAAUGAUUUUUAUGAAAAGCUAUUUGAAAUAGUUUCAAAAUUAAGUGAUUUUUUAGAAUUUUGAUAUCCAAAUUUUUUUUCAAUAAAAUGAUGAAAUAUCUAAAAUAACAUUUUAAGAAUAACGAUUCAAACCAAAUUUUCAUUUGAAACUUUUAUGAAAAAUUUCUUUUUAAAAUUUUUUUACAUCAAAAUAUGUUACACUAUAAAAAUCAUUUUAAAAAAAACCAGAAUAAACGGGUCCUUUAUCAGCUAUGGACACGUGUUUCUUCGGAAAUUGUUGGGAAAUCUUUUAGAGCGUUAAAUAAUCAUUUGAACAAUUGUCAUUGUAUAUGAUCCUAUGAGGAAUCACCAUGUGGAAGAGUUUUUAAAGAAUCAUCUUCCGAAAUGAUUUUUUAUGAUUCAUCGUCGAGAAGAUUGCUUGGAGAAUUGUUGUAUCAAGAGUUUAUUACAACGUACGAGAACUUGGUAGAAUCACAUAAAACAACAAAUGAAGAAUCAAUUGUAGAAAUUUCAAAUUCAUCAAUCAGGGAUGGAUUCAUAUAGAGAUGACAACUAAGAUUUAAUCAAAGCUUAGUCAAGAGAUUCUCAUGAAGCAUCUCCGAGAAUAUUAUUAAAGAAAUCAUAUUUUAUUUCUAAAAGAGAAUCAAGAAAAAUGCUUGGAAUUGAAUUAGGUAAACGAAAAAGGCAACCUCUAAAUUCUAUGAAAUGUGAAACUUAUGAUUCUUUGAAAAAUAAAAUCAGUAGACUACAUGAUACCUUAGGUAAAUUCACUGAGGGAAGAGAAAAUCUAUAUUUAACUUUAUAUAAUCAAAUGGCUUUGUAUAAGAAAAGUGGAUUAUAUUAUCAACCUAAUAAAAAAAUUAUUAGUAAAUGUCAUGCCAAGAAGAAGACCAUUCGUCCUAUUUUUAAAUGCAACUAUUGUCAUAAGCUUUGUAAUCUUGAACAUUUGUGUUUUUAUGAAAUUCGUGAUUUAAGAUGGUCUAAGGGGUAUGACUCAAGACAUCUUAAACCUACUAACACAUAAGGACGCAAAAAUAUUUGGAUACCAAAGAUGAAUACUUAAUUUAUUUUGUAUGAAUGCUUUACAACUUUAAAGGGGCGGAUAUACAAGUUAAAAAAAGUCAUGGAAAGCAAGAGUUUGAAGAUUCCACCAAAAAAAGAUGAUUUUGAUAGUAUUUAUUGUUAAAGAAUCAUGUGGAAGUAUUUUGAUGAAAGGUCUUUAAGAGAUAUCUCUCCAAAGAAGAAAUGAUAUUCUAGAUAACCUCUCCUAUCAAGAAAUUCAGAUAGAUGCAAUUUUUUCCAACUUUGUUCCUUCUUUUAAAACGGGAAAUUAUUUCAAAGUUCUUUGUACUUUUAAGCUAAAACACUUGAUGUAUAUUUUAAUUAGAGACUAAAACCAUAAUCGUUAACAUCAUGUGGUUCUCCAAAGGCUUCUUGUCUAGAGUCUUUUCUGUUACAAGAUCCUUUUUCACCAAAGGUUUAUUUUCCAAAGAUUGUUGACAUAUGACUUUUUUUUCAAGAGGAUGUUAAUGCUGGAUUUCCAUUAUCUUGAUAGUUGCAAUUUAUUCAACUAGUUUUGAUGUAUCAUUGUCAAACUCUUUCUACUCAAGCCUUACAUGUAUUGAUUCUUCAACAAUCAAAAUUUUACUAUUAUAUACCUUGUAAGUUCUAGAGCAUAUAUAAUAUCUUAACAAAAAACACUUUUCUGCCUCUAAAUCGAACUUGUUAAGGUGAUCUUUGGUGUUUAGAAAUAACAAGUAUAAUAAAAAUGAUGGAAAUAUGACAAUAUUAAUUUUUCUACCUUUCCAUAAUUACAAGGAGUUUUAUUCAAUAUUGGUUUAAUAUAUUUUCUAUUUUCCAUGUAACAUGUUGUAUUUAUUGUUUCUUCUUUUUGUAUAAACUUAAGCAUACAAAACAAGACAUUUCUUUGCGAUUUAGGGAUUAUACACAUUGUUGUUUCUUUUUGAAUUGGAUGAAUUAUUCAAAAUAACACGGAGUACGUUCAAGUUGUUCUAGUGCAAAAGGGACACAUGUGGAACACGAUGUUCCAACAUAUGUGUAGCAACAUCUAGUAUCUGACAAUAGACAUAUGUUAUUGCAGUUAUGUUUCAGAUUUAAUCCAAAAUUUAUUCUUCAAAGAAGAUUUAUAUGAAGAAAGUUCAUUUGAAUAUUUUGGUGCAACAUGUGGAACAUGAUGUUCCAAUAUAUGUGCAGUGCAACAUUCGGUCCUGGUCAGUGCAACAUGAUGUUCCAAUAUAUGUUCCAAUCAGAUUUAUUGCAAAUUGUUUACCAAUGUUUGUGUGAUUUUUUUGACAAUUGUUGAAGAUCAAAUAAGAUAUAAAUGGAGAUUUUUAAAUUUGAAUUUGAAAUAUAACAAAGCAUAUAUUUUGUUGCAAAUAUUUAUGGAGAAAAUCAAAUCCAACAUGUUCAACUAUUAUGUUGGACGAAAUUAAAUUAGAGAUACAAAGGAGAAAAUCCCAUAAUGCAUUGAUAUUUAAGGAGACUCAAAUCUCAUGUUUGAAACAACUUUCUUGCCCUAUGACUAAGUUAUUUAUUCUAGGGUUUUUGAGUCUUUUUUUAUUUGUAUUCCACGCUAAUACUAUCACUCAUAUCAUAAGGAUUAGUGUUGGGUCUUGUUUGUGUACACUGUAACACCCCGAUAAAAUAUGAUAAUUAUUUAAUUUAAGUUUAAUAGUAUAUUAUGAUGAUAAUAUGAAUGAGAGGGUAUUAUUUAGAUAAACCAUUCAUAUAUAUUAUUAUUAGUAUAUUUAUUAAUUUAAUUAAAUAAUUGGAAUAUUAUUGGAUUAUUAUUAUUGGAAUUAUAAGUUGGAAUCAGUAAAGAGUCCCAAUUAGAAAAGGGUUUUUCACGUGAAAACAGAGAAGCGACUGGAAAGUGGAGAAAGGGAGAAGAAGAGGCUAGGGCUCAGGAGGAGAAUUCUCGAUUGUUGAAGGUCAAAGAAUCAAUUGCCGGAUUAACUCAGGUAAGGGGGGUUUAUCGUCGUUUAAUGGGCAUUAUGGGUUAACAUGUAAUGGGUAGUAAUAAGCCAUUGAAUUGACUCUAAUCAGGAUGAUGAAUGCUGCAAAUUGUGAACUUAUGGAUGAAUGAGAUAUGGGUUUAUAAUUGAAGAAAAUUCGUAGGAAUUAGAUGUAAUAAGGUUAGAAAUUGUGAAAUUGAAUGGGUAUGAUCUGUGUUAGAUAAUAUGAACGAAUGCUGUGUAAAAAUUGGACUGUGGAAGGUUGGAUUUGAGAAAUCUCGUAGCAGAGAAAAACCCAUAGCAGAUCUGGAAUUUUGGUUUCUGGUCAUACGCGUAUGACACUAGGCCAUACGCGUAUGAGAUGGCCUGGAGGGGAGGAGACUGGUGCUGAUACGCGCCAUACGCGUGUACUUACGCGUAGCCUGUGAGUGGUACGCGUAUGGGGUGAGGCCAUACGCGUAUGAAUGAAGAAGAUGAUGUUCUAACGUAGUUUUGUCUCUGUUGGUACGCGUAUGGGAGAAGUGGUACGCGUAUCAUACGCGUAUGAGACAGGCCAUACGCGUAUGGGCUUGGCUAGGAAAUGUGCCAUACGCGUAUGGGCAUGAGGCAUACGUGUAUGGGCAGAAGUUUGAUUUUUCUGAGCUGUUGUUGUGCAGUUUUGGUCGUUUCAGCUGAGUGAUGUAAUUUAGCUGAUGUAUGAUAUAGUAGGGAUCAUUUCCCGUUGUUUUGAGCAGUAUAGGUAUUAGUAGAGUGUGCUAAUACUGUGAUUUAUUAUUUGGCAUGACAUGAUAUGAUUCUGUGAUAAAUAUGCUGAUGAUGUAUGAUGGUAUGCAUAAUGCUGUGAAUAUAUCUAUUAUGUAUGCAAUUGUGGAUGGACUGUUUAUGGCUUAGAGUGUGAGCAUAUGUCCAUUGUGGAUUGUUGUUGAUGUUUGCAUGCUAGGUGAUUUAGCGUGCAUAGCAUAGCCUUUAGGGUGGUAGCUAAUUCCCAUGGUGAGGAAUUAGUGAGUGAGUCACUAGGUCUCAAAUGAGUGGGACUAGUGAGCUUGGUAGCCGUAUCUGGGUUUGAUCGGUGAGGUUGAACUAUGUGUUCACGAAUAGUCGGUACCGCAUGCAUGGAGUCUCAUUGCAUAAUGUAUGUAUGGUGUAUAAUAUGAAUGGAUGUAUUCCAAUAUUAUACGUGUGUUUUGUGUUGUGUUGAGUAUGAUUUGAGUUGAUGUUGCCGUUGCUGAAUGUGUGAUCUGAUUAGGGUGAUGAAUGUGUUAAUUUACUUAGCAUUACAUGAUAUUUUAUAAUGCUUAUUCUAUCGAUUGAGGAACUCACCCUUACAACUAUGUUUCAGGUAACGAGCAGUGAUUGAGUAGAAGCUAGUGCUUGGAGUCUAGUGUAGUUCCUUAGUGAGUCAUGCUCUGGUAUAUGUAACAUCGGGACCGGAUGUUUUACUUUGUUUUCAUUGUUGGUUGUUAAACAAUUUUACAUGUAAGGUGUUACAUGGUUCGAAUGUUGUUAGAUUUCUAUCCGCUGCGAAUUGUGCAAUGUUUUAUUUUGAUUAAUAAAUGAGCAUGACCAGUUAUUUGAUGAACGGUGUGAAGUGUAAAGUGUGACACCCUGAAAUUGCAUAUCUACUCUGAUUUAUAUUUUGUUGUUUUAAUUAAUUAUUGGGGUAUUUUAGAAGGGUGUUAAAUUAGUGGUAUCAGAGCAUAGUCGGUCGAGUCGAGUCGUAAUUAUUCUGUUUCCCUGUAUGUGAUAGGUGUUGUGUAACCCUAUCAGUACUUAUUGUUUUAGCUUGUUGGGUUUUCAGAAUAGAGAUGGCUGGAAGAGGUAGAGACGAUGCUGNUGAAAAGUUAUUUUGGUGGCCGGGAAUGAAAAGAGAAAUUGCCGAGUUUCUGUUUAUUCUUGUUUUGACAUUGUCAGAAGUCAAAGAUGAGCAUCAGAAGCCGUAUGGGCUAAUUGCAACCGUUGGCAUUCCAGAGUGGAACGUGGGAUAGUAUCAGUUAUGGCGUUUUGUUUCGGUUUAUCCGAGGGACCCAAUUAAGAAUUUUUGAAGCUGUAUUUGGGUGAUUGUUGACAGAUUGAAAGAAAUCGGCUCAUUUCAUUCCGAUCAGACUGGGAUUAUCCGUUAGAAAGAUUAGCUGAGUUUGUAUAUUGAGAAAAUUGUAAGUUUGCAAUGGUAUUCCGUCGAGUAUUGUUUCGCGACAGGAGAUCCUAGAUUACAUAAGUUCUGGGAAGGUUUGCAGAGGGCUUUGGGGACUCAGUUUGAGAUUGAGCUUUCUGCAUAUCAUCGCAGACUGAUAGGUCAGACUGAGCGAGGACGAUUUCAGUUCAACUGGAGGAUCUUUUGAGGGCUUGUGUUUUGGAAAAGGGAGGUGCUUGGGAUUGUUAUUUACCUUUGAUGAGUUUUACCGUACAAACAAUAGUUUCAAUUCGAGCAUUGGGUAUGGCACCGUUGAAGCUUUGUAUGUAGGGAGAUGUCGGACACCUUUUAUGUUGGAUAUGGAGUCCGGUGAGAGUGCUCUGGUUUGGACCGGAGAUUGUUUCAACAAACUAGAAAAGAUUAAGAUGAUUCGGGAGAAGAGCAGGAUUGCUCAGAGUUCGUCAGAAGAAUUAUCACGACAAGAGGAGGGAAGUCACUGAGUUUCAAGAGGGACAUUCAGUGAUUCUUCUUCGUGUUACUCCCAUAACUGGGAUUGGGGUCAGCUUUGAAGUCGAAAAAAGUUUGACACCUUCGAUUUUACUUGGUCCUUAUCAGGAUUUUGGAGAGGAAUAUGGGAGGUAGCCUAUCGUAUCGGCUUUACCCCCACCGCCCGUCAACUUGCGAAUUUGCAUGAGGUUUUUCAAUGUGGUCUCAGUUUGAGGAGGUACCAUUCCUGAUCCGUCGCAUGUGGGUUCCAGUAGAUGAUGUACAGUGAGAGUAUUAACCUGACUGUUGAAAACAUCACCUAUGAGGAUAGAGGAUCUGUAGAGUGUGAAGAUUUGCGGGUGUAAGAGAUUGCUUUGGUAAAGGUAGCUUGGGAAGGACCAGCAGGUGGCAAUGUGAACUCGGGAACUGAGAGUUCGAAUGAAGGAGUCUUAAUCCAGAGUUUAUUCGCUUUUGGGGAGGGGUCAUGGUUUCGAGGACUUGGAAACUCUUUUAGUGGGCGGAGAGUUGUAAACACCAGAUAAAAAAGAUAAAUUAUUAAUUUAGUUAAUUAGUAUAUUAUUAAUUUAAUUAAAUAUUGGGAAUAUUAUUGGGAUUAAUUUUCAUUGGAAUAAUUAAAGUUUGAAUAUAUAAUAAAAGUUCCAUUGGUAAAAAGGGGUUUUUCACGUGAAACCAGAGAAGCGACAGAAAAGUGAGAAGAGGGCAAAGAGGAAGAGCAAGAGACCAAGGGUUGAAGAAGGAAAAGCUUGAAGUAAAGGAUUUGUCGAUUAAACUCAGGUAAGGGGGUUGUAUCGUCGUUUAAUGGCGUAUUAUGGGUUACAUGUAAUGGGGUAGUAAUAAGCCAUUGAAUUGACCCUAAUUGCGGAUGAGGAAUGUUGCAAAUUGUGGAUGAAUAAGUUAUGUUAAAACUGUAAUUGAAUCUAUAUGUGGGUGAGUCGUAAUUCUGGACGUGUAGUUUUUACGCGAAUUGAAAUCGGAGGUCCGCCGAAGUCUCGCGAGAGGAAAAUGCGGGAAAUCUGCAUUCUUGUUUUCGUGUUAGCGCGGAACAACUUUCUGUUCUGCGUUAACCGGUUAACCCAGGGUGUAACCGGUUACACUGUUAUGAUAAAAUUAAAAGAAUUAAUUUCUGUUCCUGCGUUAACCGGUUAACCCCAGGUGUUACCGGUUAACACUGUUAAAAAUUGCCAGAAAGUUGUUCGUGUGUUGCGUUAACCGGUUAACCCAGGCGUUACGCGUUAACACGUCUGUUUGGAAGUGGAAAAUUGAUAUUCAAAUAUUGUGUACAUAUUUGACGUUUGGCCUAUAUUGGUGUAUGAUAUAGUAGGGAUCAUUUCCCGUUGUUUUGAGCAGUAUAGGUUAUUAGUAGAGUGUGCAUUAUCUGUGAUUUAUUAUUUGGCAUGAUAUGAUAUGAUUCUGUGAUAAAUAUGCUGAUAAGUAUGAUGGUAUGCAUAAUGCUGUGAAUAUAUCUAUUAUGUAUGCAAUUGUGAUGGACUGUUUAUGGCUUAGAGUGUGAGCAUAUGUCCAUUGUGAUUGUGUUGAUGGUUGCAUGCUAGUGAUGUUUAGCGUGCAUAGUAUGGCCUUUAUGGUGGGUAGCUAAUUCCCAUGGUGAGGAAUUAGUGAGUGAGUUAUUGUGGAUUGUUGUUGAUGUUUGCAUGCUAGGUGAUUUAGCGUGCAUAGCAUAGCCCUUGGGGUGGUAGCUAAUUCCCAUGGUGAGUGAAUUAGUGAGUGAGUCACUAGGUCUCAAAUGAGUGGACUAGUGAGCUUGGUAGCCGUAUCUGAUUUGAUCGGUGAGGUUGAACUAUGUGUUCACGAAUAGUCGGUACCGCAUGCAUGGAGUCUCAUUGCAUAAUGUAUGUAUGUGUUAUAAUAUGAAUGGAUGUUUUCCAAUUUAUACGUGUGUUUUGUGUUUGUGUUGAGUAUGAUUUGAGUUGAUGUUGCCUGCUGAUGUGUGAUCUGAUUAGGGUGAUGAAUGUGUUAAUUUACUUAGCCAUUACAGAUAUUUUAUAAUGCUUAUUAUUCGAUUGAGGAACUCACCCUUACAACUAUGUUUUCAGGUAACGAGCAGUGAUUGAGUAGAAGCUAGUGCUUGGAGUCUAGUGUAGUUCCUUAGUGGGUCAUGCUCUGGCUAGAUGUAACAUCGGGACAGGAUGUUUUACUUUGUUUCAUUUUGGUUGUUGAACAACUACAUGUAAUGUGUUACAUGGUUUGCUGAUGAUUAGAUCUCUAUCCGCUGCGAAUUUAUGCAAUGGUUUUAUUUUGAUGAAUAAUGAGCAAGCAUGACAAGUUAUUAUGGUGAAUGGUGUGAAGUGUCAAGUGUGACACCCUUAAAUUGCAUAUCUACUCUGAUUUAUAUUUGGUUGAAUUAAUUAAUUAUUGGGGUAUUUUAGAAGGGUGUUACACUUUGAUUCUUGCAACUACAGAUGGUGAAGAGUUCACUCGUCCGGUGAACGCCGAUGCAGUCAAGAAAUACUUUUCCUAAAAAUAAAAGAACAACUCGCUAAGUUGAAAACUCGAAAGGGAGGCUUAGGCAAAAAAGAGCGUCUCGGUGGAUUGAAGACCCGAAAGGGCGAUUCAGGCAAACAUUAGAGACAUAAUACAGAAAAUUUAUCUCGGUAGAUUGAGUACUCCACCUUGGGGCAAUCUAGGAAAAAAUUAGGGAUUAUGGCAAGUAACUGCAUUCGGAUGAUCCUAAUCAUAGAAGCAUUUUUUGAGCAAGUCAUUUGGUUCUGGUUCUUCAUUCUCAACUGAAGACAAGCACAAUGGAUGUUGAAGUUGGUAAGGAGAGUAGUGACCAUUGUAUUCAAUAUAACCCUUUUCCAUGUAAAUUACUAUUUUUCAAACAUUGUAAAAAUCUAUGGAGUCUCGUCAUUUACAGACUGCCAUUCUAUUAAAUAAAGUUGAGCUUUUAUCCAAUUAUUUAUAUUCUUAUUUACUUCUGCUAAAUGAAAUUGAAUUUUUAUGAUGAUAAUUUUGAAAUAAAUUAAUGGAUAAUCAUUUUUCUUAAAACAAUAAAAGUAAUCACUUUAAGGAUAAUCGAUUUCAGUAAGGAAUGUUAACAACAAUAUGAGAACAUGUAAGUCUUGAAGUGUGAAGCAUUGUUGGUCUUCCCCUGAGCAGUUGGUUUGGUAACUUUUUUCCUCCCCAACAGUUCGUCAUUUAUCCCCAGCCUGGUUGACGAGUUUCUCCCUGAAUAUGUCAUCAUCCCAAAUAGAGCCAGUGGCUCUCAUUCCAGUUGAGUCAAUGAUCGGUCCCCUUUGCAAACUCAUAUUCCCCGGCUGAGGUGCUCUUGUUUUGUAUCCCCCCAGUUUGUGUGUGGACUCUAGAGAUCCAAAACCUUUAUUUGGUUUCCAUUUUUGCAUUGUGUUGCAUAACUUCGGUAGUUUCCCCUUUUUGCGAAUCAGAUCUAGUUAUAUUUGCCCUGGAAUUGGUUUAUUUCGCAAUUUCCAAGAAGCAUCCAAUAAGUAUUGAGGAAUGUGAUGGUCUUGGUCAUAACAUCCCCAACAGUUUGCUUAAAUCCUCAUGCAGAGUUUUACCUCUUGUAUUCCCCAACAGAGUUCAUCUUCAGAUAUGAAGAUCCCUCUUCCCGGCAGUAUUGGAUUCUGAGCAGUGUUUGAUUUUUGUCCCCUGCAAGGUUGUCUCCCAUUCUGACAUGGUGUUGACCUAAAAUUCCCCGCAGUAUUGACAAUUUGGAUCCUCAGCAGAUCCCUGUUACCCUCGGUAUGUUUGGUUGAUCAUCCUUCAGCAGUGCUCUCUCUCCGUAGAGUUCGCCAUGAUUGUUUGGAAUCACGUUCUCCUUGGUUUUUCUAGCCAUAGCUGAUUUGUGCAGAGCUAGAUAAUUUGUUUUCAUCCCUAUCAUCUUCUCCAAUUGAUGUUUUCAUCUUGUUGAGAUUAGCCGAGUGUUGCAGUAGUGAUUCAAAUCUUUGUUAUUUGUAUCCUUUGUGCUUUUUUGUCAGCAUAAUCAUAAUCAUACCCGCAUAUACAUGCAUAAAGCACAUCAUCAGAUAUUUCAUUAUUCAUUUUAUCGCAUUUUAUUUUUUUCCGACCCCUUGCUUCGGUGAUAUUAUCUCCCCAUGUAGAUUUGGUGUGUCUGUCCUCCUUCAUUCGUAGAGUGUCAUCCCCUUAAUCAGAAAGAGUUUAACCUUUCUCAUUCCCCACCGAGUUAUUUCCUCGUGGAUGAUUAUUAUUUCAGUUUCCUCCCUAGUUAAUUAUCUGGAUGGAACCACUCCUCUUGAGUUAGAUCCUCAUUGGGUUGAGUCUUUGUUUGACCGUUUCUUUCUAGUUUUUACCUAGAUAGAUAUUUUGGUCCCUUGAGAGUUUAUUACCCAGUAACCUAAUAUUCUUCUCGAUUUUGAGUACUUUACUUUUGCCCAGUACCCGGUAAAAUGUAAUCUACUUCCUUUGUUUUCCCCAGCGGUUUCGUUUUCAUGUUUCCCCAGGUAGUUUAUCCUUGAUAUGUUCAUCCUAACCGAUGACGGAUAUUCUUCCUUUUAUGGUUUUCUACCAUGUAAAAAGGUAGUUGUAAUCCCUAUUUUAUUCCCCAGAGAAUCUAUCCUUGAUAUGUUCACUUUAACCGGUGAUAGAUUUUCUCUCCCUUUUCGGUAUUCUACCCAGUAACCGAUAGUUGUAAUUCAUACUUUCCCCUGCUGAGUUUAUCCUUUAUAUGUUCAUCCUAACCGGUGACGAAUAUUAUCUCUUUGGUAUUCUAUCCAGUAACUGAUAGAUAUAAUUCCUAUUUCUCCCCGACAGUUUAUCCUUGAUAUGUUCAUCCUAACCGAUGACGGAUAUUCUUCCUUUGAGUUUAUCCUUGAUAUGUUCACUUUAAUAGGUGACAGAUACUCUCUCUUUGCUCUUCUGCCCAAUAAUCGAUAGUUGUAAAUCAUAUUUGAGUUCUCUCCCCAGUAGGUUAUUCUUACCCAGUAACCGGUAAUGGAUACACCUCUUUUUCCUCAAAGAGUCAUCCUUGAUAUGUUUACCCUAAUCGGUAACGGAUAUCCCUUUGUUAGAGUGUAUUAUCUUCCUACCCAGUAACCGGUAAUAGAUAAUAUAUCUCUUAUACUCCUGUGUUGAAGUUCAUUCUUCCCCAGUUGAGUUUGAGUGCGUAUUUCCCUAGUGGAAUCGCCUUUUCCUAUUUGGUUCGAGUAUUUCUACUUUGUUCUAAUCUACCAGUUUCCCCUAUAGAUUAUCCUGGUUCCCCAACCGAGUCUUUCCAUUGAUUUAUAUUCAUGGAAAUCCCCUCGUGCCUCCAGCCGUUUUUAAGACGUAGCCUGGCCUAAGAACAAAUUUUUAUCCCCCUAGAGUCUUUGUCUCCCCAGUAAGUUUUCCUUAUGGAAUGCAUUAUGCUCCUGCGGACUUUCAGUCUCUCCGGAUUCUUUUCCUUUGUGGCAAUUUAUUCCCCACAAAGAUUAUUUUACAUACAUACCAUAUGCAUCAUGAGGUCUCUUAGGGACCAAAAUUUGUUUCUUGAUGUUGUUAUUUAAGUCUAUUCUACUGAGUUGACGGGAAGUUUUUAACCUUGACAUCCUCAGUUAGAAUGUCCUUAAAUAGGGGCAGCUGUAAGACCCCAAUCUUGACCCUAAGAUCCCUCAUACUAUCUCAUCAUUUGCAUUGGCUUUGGGAUCACGCCUUGGUAUCCUCCUUACCCCUCAUUCAUUGGGUUUGCAUUGGGAGAGAUCACCAAGCAUAUUUGAUUGUAUCAUACUUUGUUUUUUAUUAUGAACUAACCAAAAUACCAAAAAUAUGUCUAUGUAUAGCUUUGUUUCUUUUGUAGGUAGUGUGUGCAUCCACGAAUGCCUCAUCAAGCUCAUAUAUAGGGUUUGAGACCCUCAAUGCAAGGAGAUCAAUCAAGAGAUUAUUCACAUUGGCUCUAAACAUCAUAUAUGGGUCCCCAUGUUCUUCAUUUAUCAUUUUGAUCAAGAAAUCAUCAAGGGUUUGAAGUUUGUUUGCAUUGGAAGCCCUAAUUCAUUUGGGUAUCUUGUGUGACUUCCUCAACAAGUUUAUUUAACAUUUGAUAAAAUAUUUCAAGGGAUACUUUAUUAUACAUCAUCUCAUCAAUAUAUGAUCAUCCAUGAGCCCCAAAUAUCAAGAAAACUUCAAGUUUGCAAGUUGGUUCAUGGUGGUUGACUAGAGAAAGUCAACUGCUCAAAAUUGGGGUUCCCUAGACCCUAUCUCCUACAAUUUGUGUCAUAUGGAAAUUAUUCUAAGAGAAACGUUAAUCUUUAUGAUAUUCCAAACAACUUUAAUUUUGAAUUCAAGAGCUAGUUUUGCUCGGAAAGUCAUUUUUUAUGGUGAAAUAUUAUAGGUUAUUUUGUUUGUGCCCUUGUUAGAAGGUCAACUUCCAAGGACCAUAACUUGCUGAAUUUUUAUGAGAUGAAGUCCAUCCAAGUUUCAUGAUCAAUUUAAAUAUGUCACUUCCAACUUUUAUGCUUUGAGAAACUUCAAAUUCAACUUGCAAGGGCAUGUUCCAAGAAGAAACAUUAUAGGUCAUUUUGGGUCAUUACCAUUGAACAAGCAAUUUUCCUCAACUUCUAAAAUACAUUACUCCUUCAUGCAAAAUCCAAAUGAGAUCCAAUUUGUGACCAAAUUGAAUAGGUUUGAAAGAGAUACAACUUUUAUGAAGGAAAUGUUUCCAUUUGAAGCUCAUAGCAAAAGUUAUUCAAGGUGGAAGAAGUGAACAUUUGACUUGGUACUUAGAAAAAUUUCAAUCAUGUUUGAAUUUCCAAACUUCCACCUCAAAAUUCCUCAUGGUACAAGCUUCAAAUGAAAAAGUGUUCAACAUGAAAGUUGUUCCCCUUGGUCUCACCUUCCCAAAAAGUCCAAUAUCACCUCAUUUGGACCGAGAUUGAGGGACUUGCAUAUGGUUCCUUUCAUAGGUUUAUUUUGGUAAAACUUGAACUCAAAUAACCAUUUCCUAUUGCAUGCUUACAUGUUAUGGUUUUAGUACUCAAUGUGCACGAAUUGGAGUUGGAUUGCAUCAUUCCUUAGGCCCAAAUCAUUGCCCAUUCAUUCAUGCACCAAAGUUGCUAAAAUUGGCAAAUGUUCAAGGUGUGUGAAAAGUAACUUGAUACACUAUAAAUACAAGGCCUUUGUGAUCAGAAUGGGGAUCCUUGCUUUGCCAAGAUUUGAACCAUUGCCUCCCUAACCUCCAUUAAAGAAUAAACUUUAAGAUUUCACUUGAAAUCGAGUUUCAAAUCUCCUUCUUUUUUGAGAUUGAAACUCCAAGAAUCCAAACCCUUCUUUGAUCCAAUUCACUUUCUGCAAGCUUCUGGAGUCGAGCCAAGGCCAAUUGGAAGCAAGAUCAAGCCAGAUUCAAGCUACUCGAAGGUGAUUUUUCAGAAACUUUCUCUCUUCGAUUCUCUCUCAAUUCUUCACCAUUCUCUUUGAUUUUUGGUUGGCUGAAGUCCAAUCAAUGUAGGCAACAAGAUUGAGUUGCUUUGAGGUCAAAUCGAAGCAACUUAGAUCAUGAACCUCAAAUUUCAAAUCCAUGUAUCUUUUAAUAUACUUGGAAUUGGAAGAAAUGGAGGUCAGAUUCGUGCUCCUGAGCAUUUUUCCUUCAAAAACAUGUAUCCACUUUUCAUUUUCCAUUUCGUUUAUGGUGGACCAGUCCUGUGAGGUCCAUCAGAGAAGAUGACUGGAGCUAGGGCUCCGGUGGUGUGCUGGCUUUUCCCAUACCAUCUGAUCAUGGUUCCACAUUUUAAUCAGGACCCUUGAUUUUGCAUACCACGUGUGUACACGCGUUGACUA
rnacentral:lncRNA from 1 species